rnacentral:lncRNA from 1 species
UGCUCUUUCUCCCUCGCUUGGUGCGUGCGGGAGAGCUGAGGAACCGAGCAAAGCCAAUUGCAGAUGAAUAUCUUCAUCAAGCAAUUUCGUCGCUGAAUUGAUUCGUCGCCUUAGCUUCGUCUUCAUGAGAUUCUCCAAGUCUUUCAGUGUCUUCAUUUAUUAGCACGUAACCAUUCGGAUCGGAUCUCCCCCAAGGUAGGACGCGGUCGAUUCAUGGAGACUCGAUCAUACGAUUGUUCUGUGUUUGCCUUUUGCUGAGAGCUUCAAAUUUUUAUCUUAAAUUGCUCAUGUUAUAUUGCUCGCCAAUUGAUAGGAAUUCGUUUUUGUAGAACACCUCACCAUUUACUAUCACCACCUGUUCGACGUUUUGACUCAGAGAUGAUAAUAACGAAUUUGUCUUCAUCAUUGAUCAAUCUGAGAUUGCAUAGCAUGAUCUGGAUGUUCUUGUUCGACAUGCUGAUCAUAUAUUGUGAAGUUUGAUGCUUCAUCCAUUGAUGGCAGAGAGUUCUCUUUCCCUUGGUGCUUUGGUUUACUUUGUCUCCUUUGGUUGUGUGACUGAAUUGUUGUGGCACCCCUCGACACGGCCCCCGACCCAUGUCAUACCAUUUAAAUUGUAGUGGGUCCAUAAAUCCUGGGGGUUCGUAUCAUCUCAAUUGGUCCCAACGCAGUUCAUAUAACAGAAGCAUACUCAACAUCUCCCUAACCCUUACUCAAACUAAAUAAUAUAAUGCAAUGCACACCAACUACACUUUUCAUAUAUAUAGAAGCUAAUGCCGAACCACUUUUAUUUACAUACUUUGAUGGACAUCACGAGUCGGUACAACAAAAGGCCAAGGCUUUAACUAAGCUCAGCUAUAACCCAAAAGAACUCGACUCUACAUUAGACAUGUACAUCAAUCCAUCAUCCCAGUGUCGGCCAUCCAAAAAGUGUCAACCUCCACCAAUCACACGCUCCUAUCACACCCAGCUCGGUGCAUCGGCUGGUGGUGGCGGCAGCAUCCCCAUCAUCCUCCCAUCUCGACGAACAUGGACGGAUAGGAACUCCUGGACUACGGGGCCAUCAAGUAGGGCCACAUCAUACAUAACCAAAACACAAACGCGGAUAAACACCAGACCAUGAACACCAAUGCAAUGGUGCUCCGAGCACUCGACCUCAACAUCAGAUGGUAAGCCAUAAAAUGCACCACGUGUGACAGGUGAUAGAGGCAUCUCUCAAUCUAAAAUGUUAGUCCCCAAAAUGGGUGAGUACAACCACUUAGCAGUAAAGAUCCAUCAAACUACACAAUGCAACAAGCAAGACAACCACAAUUUCGUGUGAAAUGCACAUAUCAUUCAUGUAAUCAUGCUUGCAUUUCCAUGAGAUUCACUCAUUAAAACGAUUCAUGUUCCAUGCCAUAUACACAUACAAGCGCAUGAUCCAUAUCAUCCAUACCAUUAUGUAUCUAUCCCCAUGAGAUCCAUUCAAUACCAUCAUGAUCGCAUUCUCAAUGCCAUAUAGUAUCAACUCAAUUUCAUAGACAAUUAUAUCCUAUGCCAUAUGCACACACACAUGCGCAUGAUUCAAUUCCCAUUUUAACUUUCAAAAGGAUCUCAUUUUUUUCUUCCAAAGGACCAGUGUUUGCAUCCCUCAUAUAUCGCUCGCACCCAACUUGGCAUCGCGAGGAACCUCCGGCACACACCUCCAGGCAUCCGGCACACACACUCCGAGCAUCCCGACACUCCCGAGGCAUCGUCGGCUCACACCUCUGACGGUAUCAUCAUUAUCAUUAUACAUGGAUGUAUCUCACUUUGGAAAAUUUCAUUUGAUGCGAUGAUGCCAAAAGUUUCAUGGAAUUUAUGAAAUCUCAUCAAUUUGAUGCCAUAUGAAAUGCACAAAUAUCACCACAUAUGCAGUACAAAUAACAAACCAAGAUAUCAUACCUCAUAGAGCAAUUAAUUUGUUUUUGGAAAUAGAACUAUUUUCGGAUAAAACAGGAUGUACUUCUUUAAUCAAUAUUCUGGAAAAAUUAGUAAACGAUCUCAAUAAAUUUUGAAAAUUUAACAUGAUGUAAACAAGACCUAGAGAAAGAGAUUUCAUGAAGAACACCAUGUCAAGAAAGUUUCACAUCAAUCACAUAGGUCCAUAUAUCACAGCAAAAGAAUUUCCAAUGCCACUUUUGCACAGUUUCGGAAAUAAUUUCGAUUAAGUCCUUAAAUGAACUCCCAAAAAUCCUGAGAUUUUAAUAUGUUAUCAUUGAGACCUAGAGGUAAAAGUCCCAUGAAGAAAUAUAAGUCUAAUUCAUUCUGGAUUAAAAGAUAUGAUUAUUGCAACUCACCCUAACCCUCAGCUCAAUCUCCAGAUUUAAUCCCUUUCAAAGAAAAAUCAUUUCCCCGAUCAAUACUGGUCCGUUUAUUCUCAAAUUUCAAUAUGUUGCUCCUCAAGAUGUCAUCUACAACUCUUAUCAAGGACAUGAGAUCAAAUUUGUCACGCCCCGAUCCUCAAGCACGCACGCAUCCUUCUACUUGGUCAAUUUUAAAAUGCGAUAUCCCAGGAUUAUGUAUCGCUGACUCUUUCAUUUAUUAAGCACAUGCGGAAGCAGUUAUAAAUCCCCAAACAAUAAAACAAUAGGAUAAAAAAGUAGGCCAUAUUUUUCAUAUUGAAACUUAUAACCAAACUUUUAUACAAAACACAACUCCAGGUACUUCAUAACUAUUCACAUCAAAAUAGAGUUCUCAAAAGAAGAUGGAAUCUCAGUCCAUCCGGGUCGUACUUAAGAUCCAUCUCGGUAUUAUCUUCUUCUUCCAAAAACCUUCUCCUCAAGUUUCACCUCAGAGUUCUCCUUCUCAGAUUCCUCCUCCUCAGCUCCUCAUCGAGGUCCUGAAAUGUUUUCCCCAAACUAGGAUGAGACUACGUCUCAGCGAGUUCUACCCCGCUAAGACUCAAUUAGGGAACCAAUACACAACAUGGUUGCCUAAGCACAGCACGAGUCAGAGGACUUACCUUAGCCUCAAAUCCCACCUGCAUGUUAGCACAUAUCAAAUAGACAUCCAAGCAAUCACAUUACAGAUCGAAGCAUCGAUCAAAUCGACUUAGUCGAUUACAUGUCAACAAGACCACUCACGAUCAUUUCCAUUCGAUCAAUCAAUUCACAACAUCAUAUCAAAGCAAUGAUCAAUCGACUUAAUCGAUUACAUAUCAGUAGGACCAUUCCUAGGUCAUUCAUUUCAUCCCAAAUAACCUCGAAUAGUACACUUAGUCAUAGAGCUCCAUUAAUGCUCUCAGGCGUCGUUUUCGCCAAGGUGACAUAAGUAUCAGACAGUCUACGUGCGUUCUUUAAGGCGCCGUUUUCGCACAGUGAUCUCCCUGAUCACCGAAACACGCCCGUCAUAGGUCACAUAUCACCGACAGUCUACGUGCGUUCUUUAAGACGCCGUUUUCGCACAGUGAUGUCCUUCAUCACCGAACCACGCUUGUCACGAUUCAUACGCAGUCUACGUGCAUUCUUUAAGACGCUGCUUUCACACAGUGAUAUCCUUAAUCACCAAACCACGCUUGCCAUAAGUCAUUGAUAGUCUACGUGCAUUCUUUAAGGCGCUGUUUUUGCACAGUGAUGUCCUUCAUCACCGAACCACGCCUGUCACGAUUCAUAGGCAGUCUACGUGCGUUCUUUAAGGCGCCGUUUUCGCACAGUGAUAUCCUUAAUCACCGAACCACGCCUGCCAUAAGUCAUAGACAGUCUACGUGCGUUCUUUAAGGGCGUCGUUUUCGAACAGUGAUGUACUUUAUCACCGAACCACGCCUAUCUAUACUUCGUACUUGAUUGGGUCUCGGCCAAUAGAAUUCGCAGUUAGCUCUCACCACUCUCUUCACUUACAGCUCAACAAGGCAUUACAAAUGUUAACUAGCCAUACUCGGCCAUCUACCAAUCAAUAAUUCAAUUUCACUCAAUUUCAAUCAAUUUAGGGUGAAUCCCUAAAAUAUCACAAUUUAUUUAAUUCCAUGCAACGUAGAGCUCAAUUAAAUAAACAGACUACGCCACGACAAUCAGAACGAGAUUUCGGUCGUCGGCCAUCUCAACCUUAAUUUUCGAAAAAUAAAUAAAUAAUUAAUUAAUUUCGAAAAUUAAAUAAUUAAUAUUAAAAAUUCAAUUUAGCUCAAAAUAAAGCCCGAUUAAAUAAACGGACUUCACCAUGGUCAUCAGCAUAAUAUUCUAAUCACUAGACAUCCCAGUUGAAUUUUUGGAAAAUAAUUAAUUAAUUAAUUAAUUCUGAAAAAUAAUAUUUAGAUGCAAAAAUUCCACUUAGGCCCGAAUUAUUAAAUUGAAGCCUGAUUAGGGUCGGGAAAAAUCCCGGGCUACCCUCAAUAAAUAGUAGACCACGUCUACUUGCGAAAUGCACACUCAAUUUGUAUAAUUCGCAUCACAAUUGACUAAUAAAUACUAAUCCAUACUAAUCUAACCACCUAAACCUAAUUAAUUAAAAAUAAACAACCCUUAAGUGUGAUUAGCCCACUAAGCAAGGAUUAGUGAGAUUACUCACCGGAAUCGCGCGUAAAUCGGAUCAAUCCGACGGGGAUGACGCGAGGAACGAUAAACUCCAAAGCGAGCCUCGGGUUCGGGGCCCGGAAAUGGCCCAAAACCAACCACGAACCGGCUGGAAACCCACUUGAGGUUUCGCUGGUUCAGUUGCAAAAUAGAGAGAAAGAGAGAGGGUUGGGGGCAGCUAGGGGUUGGGAAGGUAGGCGGCGGUCCGGCGAGGCUGCACGGCGGCUCCGGCGACCUGCUCAGUCGCUCACAGUGGCUAAACAGAGGCCAAACAGAGGCUGGAUCGCGCGGGGGACGCCUAGGCGAGAGGGGAUGGGGGCUGGCGGAGCGCGCGGCGAGCGGCGGACGCGCGGGUGCGGGCGGCGGGACGGCAGCGAGCGGUGGGUGGCGACAGUCCUCGGCGAGCUGCUACUUCUGUCCACUGGCUUCACACAAGCAGAGAUGAAGAGAGGAGGGCGACGACGCCUGAGGGGCGUGAGGGAAGGGACGGACGGCAGCUCGGUGGGGUGGCACACGCNNNNNNNNNNNNNNNNNNNNNNNNNNNNNNNNNNNNNNNNNNNNNNNNNNNNNNNNNNNNNNNNNNNNNNNNNNNNNNNNNNNNNNNNNNNNNNNNNNNNNNNNUGCCCAGCUUUAGGCGAGCUGUGCCAGUCUUCCUCUUCUUCAGCUUCUGGUUUUUGCUCGCUCGAGCAGAGAGAGUCGAGAGAGAGAGAGAGAGAGAGAGAGAGAGAGAAGAUAAGAUUUGACUAGUCAAAAGAAAAGAGAGAGAGAGAAGAGUGAGUCGGUGGGGGAGCUAUCCGCACGAAGGGGGAGGGGAGAGGAGAGAGAAGAGAGAGAGAAGAAGAGAGAAAAGGUAGAGAGAAGAAAGAGAAAUAAAAUAAUAACAUUAUUCUUAUUUUUCUUUUUCUCUUUCCUUUUCCCUUUCAAUUUUCUUUUGGUCUUCGAUUUUUCCUCCGAUAAUUUCUUUCUUGAAAUUUCAGACUCGUCAGUAAAUUGACAGAUGAUGAGACGGGUCCUAAAAAUGAAUUGUGACACACUCGAAUAUUCGAUUCCCGAAACUAAUUUAAAUUUCAUGGUUAAAAUCAACCGGACGUGAUUUUAGUCCAAUCCAACCAAUUAGGUAGCUUUUAGGGAUUUUACCACGGAUAUAUCCCUUAACAGCUUCACCCAAUAGGUUAGUUAACUCGUGAGCGAUUAGCUCAAAGAAAAAGGACCAUAGGCGCGCCAAUGAUAUGCACAUUUCAUUUUAUCGAAACGGGAUCGAAUUUUAAGAUGUCACAACUCUUCCCCUCUUAUAAAAAUUUCGUCCUCGAAAUUUAAACCAUUACACACUUUGAUCAAAAAGGCGGGGGUACAACUGUCUCAUCGACUCUUCAGUCUCCCAAGUUGCUCAUUCAGUGCCGUGGUGUUGCCAGACCACUUUGACCAACGGAAUAGUCUUUGUACGCAGAACAUGCUCUUUGUGAUCGAUAAUCUGAACCGGGUUUUCAGCAUAUGAUACACGGUCAUCCAUGUCCAAUUCCUCGAAAUUGAGCACGUGGGUCGGGUCAAGCUUGUACUUCCUUAACAUCGACACGUGAAAGACAUCAUGCACUUGUGCCAAUCUUGGCGGCAACGCAAGACGAUACGCUAGGUUUUCGAUUCUUUCAAGAAUCUCAAAUGGACCUACGUACCUUGGACUCAGUUUUCCUUUCUUACCAAAGCGCGAAGUUCCCCUCAUUGGUGACACUUUCAGAAAAACAUAUUCACCAACUUGGAAUUCCAAAGACCUUUGACACUUAUCUACAUAACUUUUCUGCCUGCUCUGCAUGAUCUUUAAUCUGUCUCUGAUCACUGUCACGGCAUCUACUGAUUGUUGAACCAACUUUGGGCCUGUGAUUUUCCUCUCCCCGACUUCAUCCUAACAUACUAGAGUUCUGCACGCUCUGCCAUACAACGCUUCAAAAGGAGCCAUCUUGAUGCUCUGCUGAUAACUAUUGUUGUAGGCGAAUUCUAUCAGAUGAAGCUGAUCUUCCCAACUUCCUUUGAAGUCUAUUACACAAGCUCUCAACAUGUCCUCAAGAGUCUGAAUCGUCCUCUCGGACUGGCCAUCCGUCUGAGAAUGAUAUGCCGUACUGUACUGAAGCUUUGUACCUAAAGCACUCUGCAAUCUCUUCCAAAAAGUAGCAGUAAACCUCGGGUCUCUAUUGGAUGUUAUCGUAACCAACACUCCAUGCAUACGAACUACCUGACGCACAUACAGGUCUGCGUGUCUAUCUAGACUCAGGUCCUUUCGAACUGCAAUGAAGUGAGCCGACUUUGUCAGCCUGUCGACCACUACCCAAAUUAAAUCAUUUCCUUUUUGACUCCUUGGUAGUCCAGUCACGAAAUCCAUCGUGAUAUGCUCCCAUUUCCAUUCUGGGAUCGCGAGAGGUUGCAGAAGUCCUCCCGGCUUGCAAUGUUGAGCUUUUACUUACUGACAAGUCAAACACUUGGCCACAUUUUUGGCGAUGUCCACCUUCAUACCUGACCACCAAUACUGUUGACGCAGAUUCUAAUACAUUUUAGUGCUUCCAGGAUGAAUGCUGUAACUGCUACGAUGUGCCUUAGAUAAAAUUUCUCUCUAAGCUCAACAUCGUCAGGCACAACCAAACGUCCUUGGAACCUUAGAGUCAUGUCAUCAGCAAUCUGAAAAUCAGCCUUCCUUUUAUCUGCGUCCUCCUGGAGAAUUCUCUGUACAUCUAGAUCUGUCGGUUGGAGUUGCUUGAUUCUGACCUGAACAUCCGGUUCAAUUAUGAGGGUGGCCAUAAGACUUGAAAUGUGGCCUACCUCAAAUUUGAAUUCCGAAUCCCGAGCUCUCUCGAUUAAGUUCCACUCCUUAACCAAGAUUUGCGCUAUUGAAGACUUCUGACUCAAUGCAUCGGCGACCUUGUUCUCCUUUCCCGGGUGAUAUAGAGUGUCACAGUUGUAGUCUUUCAGUAAUUCCAUCCAUCGACGCUGUCUCAUGUUCAACUCCUUCUGAGAGAACAAAUACUUGAGACUCUGGUGGUCUGUGAAAAUUUGAAACUUUUCUUCGCACAAGUAGUGCCUCCAAAUUUUCAAUGCAAAUAUGAUGGCUGCGAGUUCUAAGUCAUGUGUCGGAUAAUUCAAUUCAUGAGGUCUCAACUAACGGGAAGCAUAUGCAACAACUCUACCAUGUUGCAUCAGCACGCAACCCAAUCCCCUGAAUGACACAUCACUAUAGAUCUUGAAUCCUCUAGGAUCAGAUGGAAUCGUCAGCACAGGUGCGGUAGUCAACUUUUUCCUUCAGCUCUUGGAAACUACGCUCGCACUUGUCUGUCCAUACAAAUUUCUCUUCUUUCUUCAAGAGCUUUGUCAGAGGCGACGCUAUCGAUGAGAACCCUUCCACAAACCGUCUAUAAUAACUUGCUAACCCCAGAAAACUUCUGAUCUCUGUCACUGUCGAUGGUCUCGGCCACUUGAUCACGACUUCUAUCUUGCUUGGGUCGAUGGAGAUUCUUUCCUCGGAAAUCACAUGACCUAAGAAUGCAACAUGAGUCAAUCAAAACUCGCAUUUGCUAAACUUAACAUACAACUGAUGAGUUCUUAAGGUCUGGAGUACUACUUUUAGAUGAUUCUCAUGCUCUUCAUCACUUCUCGAAUAGACUAAGAUGUCAUCAAUGAACACGAUCACAAAUUGAUCCAAAUAUUCCUUGAACACUCUGUUCAUCAUAUCCAUGAAUGCAGCCGGAGCAUUUGUCAAUCCGAAUGGCAUCACUGUGAACUCGUAAUGGCCAUACUGAGUACGAAAUGCUGACUUAGGAAUAUCCUCCUUCCUAAUUCUCAGCUGAUGAUAUCCUGUCUUUAAGUCGAUCUUCGAGAAUAUUAACGCCCCUUGCAAUUGAUCAAACAAGUCAUAUAUCCUCGGCACUGGAUACUUGUUCUUGAUCGUUGCCUGAUUGAGUUGCCGAUAGUCGAUACACAGGCCCAACGAACCAUCUUUCUUUUUCUCACAAACAAAACUAAUGUUUCCCCAAAGUGAUGCACUUAUAUGCAUGAUUUCCUCAUUCAUCAAUCUUUAAAUCAGCAUCUUCAAUUCUACCAAUUCAAACAACGACAGCUGGUAAGAAACCUUCGAGAGUGGCUCUAUCCUAGUGCUAGCUCGAUCGUAAUUUCUAUCUCUUUCUUUGACGACAGUCUGACAAUUCAUGUGACAACACAUCUAGAAAUUCUUAGACCACUGAGAUGUCCUCCAUCUCUAGUUCUCCAAUCUGUCCUACCCAAGACAAUCGCCAAGCAACCUUGGCAACCUCCGUCUAACAAACAAGUUGCCUUCAGCCAACGAGAUUAAUGAAAUCAAAGAUUCUUUUCGACUCCCAAUAACCUCGACACUUUCACAUGCUAAUGGACUAAACUGGAUUACUCCAAGACCAUGAUUCAUUAUCACAAGAUGCUCCAUGAACCCACACUAUUCACGUGGUGUCAAACUCACACCUUAGCAACUAGUCAAGCACAACUAUUGCUAGUGAUUCCCUUCUCUUUCACUUUUACUUCAACAAUUUAAGUUCUACCAACUUAGCACAAAACUCUACUGCGUUGCUCUAAUAAAAUCACCUCCAACACAUUCUUUCUCCAAUCGGUGCAAGGUCAAUUCUACUCCCAUUCCUUUCACCAUCCUAGCAGUGUUUUGGUCGCAGUAGCGAUGUCUAUGCUACCUUAGACUUCCACUGACAGUCCUUCACCUGAUGGCCAUACUGGUCAGCAUCAUAACAGGUUCUAGUCAUAUUCGAACACUGGAUUUAUCCAUACUUCCUUCUACAAUUCCGACACCUAUUUGGUGUGUCUUCUAUCUCCUGUCAGGUGAAAACAUGCACUAUUUUUGGUACCAGAAACCUAUUCCAAAACUCCACAGUGCGUUCUAUGGUGCAUUUCCUCUUAUAUGUCCAAUCAAUCUUCUAGGAUUGUCUCCAGUCAGGUAACUAUGUUGGCUAUACUUGAAACAAAUUCUUGUCCUAAGAAAACAUAAGGUCGGUCUUUGCCAUCACGCACAGGAACAACAUGUUCCAUUUUGACUCAGUGCUGACCUAACUAUCACACCCUUCUUAUUGGGUGGAAUGGAAUACUCUUCUCUCCACAUCGGUCUUUUCCUUGACCGAUUUCCAUCUCUACUUGAAUUGGAGCUGUACCUCGACUUGGAUGCAACGGCUCGCUCCCAGAUCAUCUUCACACUGGACCUCAGCAGGUGCGGCAACAACGGCGGUAAUGAUAGCGACAACAACAACGGCUUGAUUCUGAGCUUGCUGGCUCAUCCAAUUCCCAAGGAACACUAGCAUCAAAAUGAUCCUAUCGAACAUAGGAUCAUUCGACACUACUACACUAGUACCAACCUGCGGUGGUACUCUUACACUCGAGCUGGCCAAAGCCGACACUCUGCCACAACCACCUCGGGUACCGACCUUUGUUAGUGCAUUAUCCCGAGUCACAGAGGACAUUGUCCUCUUACUAGGAGUUCUCAACUCCUGCUCGCUCAUGGUUCAGUCUUUACACUGAAACCCAUCUUCCAAACCCACACUGGAUUAGAAGGUGAGCGAUCCACACACAACAAACAAUUCUAGCAUUCAGCUAACACAGACAUGCACCAGCAUGAAUUUAAAGGUCUUUUCUACCAACUAUCCCAUGGUCAACGCUCCUUAUCACUCCAAUCUUGAACUUCGCUCUGAUACCACAAAAAGGGGAUGUCACGUCUCGAUCCUCGGGCACGAACACAUCCUUCUACUUGGUUGAUUUUAAAAUGCGAUAUCCCAGGACUAUGUAUCGCCAACCCUUUUCAUUUAUUAAGCACAUGCGGAAGCAGUUAUAAAUCCCCAAACAAUAAAACAAUGGGAUAGAAAAGUAGGCCAUAUUUUUCAUAUUGAAACUUAUAACCAAACUUUUAUACAAAACACAACUCAAGGUACUUCAUAACUAUUCACAUCAAAAUAGAGUUCUCAAAAGAAGAUGGAAUCUCAGUCCAUCCGAGUCGUACUUAAGAUCCCUCUCGGUAUUAUCUUCUUCUUCCGAAAACCUUCUCCUUAGGUUUCACCUCAAAGUUCUCCUUCUCAGAUUCCUCCUCCUCAGCUCCUCAUCGAGGUCCUGAAAUGUUUUCCCCAAACUGGGAUGAGACUAUGUCUCAGCGAGUUCUAGCCCACUAAGACUCAAUUAGGGACCAAUAUACCAAAUGAUUGCCUAAGCACAACACGAGUCAGAGGACUUAUCUUGGCCUCAAAUCCCACCUGCAUGUUGGCACAGAUCAAAUAGACAUCCAAGCAAUCACAUUACAGAUCGAAGCAUCGAUCAAAUCGACUUAGUCGAUUACAUGUCAACAAGACCACUCACGGUCAUUUCCAUUCGAUCAAUCAAUUCGCAACAUCAUAUCAAAGCAAUGAUCAAUCGACUUAAUCGAUUACAUAUUAGUUGGACCAUUCCUAGGUCAUUCAUUUCAUCCCAUAUAACCUCCAAUAGUACACUUAGUCACAGAGCUCCAUUAAAGCUCUCGGGCGUCAUUUUCUCCAAGGUGACAUAAGUAUGAGACGGUCUACGUGCGUUCUUUAAGGCGCUGUUUUCGCAUAGUGAUGUCCUUCAUCACCGAACCACGCCUGUCACGAUGCAUAGGCAGUUUACGUGCGUUCUUUAAGGUGCCAUUUUCGCACAGUGAUAUCCUUAAUCACCGAACCACACCUGCCAUAAGUCAUAGACAGUCUAUGUGCGUUCUUUAAGGCGCCGUUUUCGCACAGUGAUGUACUUUAUCACUGAACCACGCCUGUCUAUACUUCGUACUUGAUCGGUCUCAGCCAAUAGAAUUCUCAAUUAGCUCUCACCACUCUUUCCACUUACAACUCAACAAGGCAUUACAAAUGCUAACUAGACAUACUCGGCCAUCUACUAAUCAAUAAUUCAAUUUCACUCAAUUUCAAUCAAUUUAGGGUAAAUUCCUAAAAUAUCACAAUUUAUUUAAUUCCAUGCAACGUAGAGAUCAAUUAAAUAAACAGACUACGCCACGACAAUCAGCACGAGAUUUCAGUCAUCGGCCAUCUCAACCUUAAUUUUCGAAAAAAAAUUAAUUAAUUAAUUAAUUUCGAAAAUUAAAUAAUUAAUAUUAAAAAUUCAAUUUAGCUCAAAAUAAAGCCCGAUUAAAUAAACGGACUUCACCAUGGUCAUCAGCAUAAUAUUCCGGUCACUGGACAUCCCAGUUGAAUUUUUGGAAAAUAAUUAAUUAAUUAAUUAAUUCCGAAAAAUAAUAUUUAAAUGCGAAAAAUUCCACUUAGGCCCGAAUUAUCAAAUUGAAGCCCAAUUAGGGUCGGGAAAAAUCCCGGGCUACCCUCAAUAAAUAGUAGACCACGUCUACUUGCGAAAUGCACACUCAAUUUGUCUAAUUCGCAUCACAAUUGACUAAUAAAUACUAAUCCAUACUAAUCUAACCACCUAAACCUAAUUAAUUAAAACUAAACAACUCUUAAGUGUAAUUAGACCACUAAGCAAGGAUUAGUGAGAUUACUAACCGGAAUCGCGUGCAAAUUGGAUCAAUCCGACGGGGACGACACGAGGAACGAUAAACUCCAAAGUGGGCCUCAAGUUCGGCACCAAAACGGCCCAAAACCAACCACGAACCAGCUGGAAACCCACUCGCGGUUUCGCUGGUUCAGCUGCAAAACAGAGAGAAAGAGAGAGGGUUAGGGGCGGCAAGGGGUCGGGAAGGUAGGCGGUGGUCCGACGAGGCUGCACGGUGGCUCCGGCGACCUACUCAGCCGCUCACGAUGGCUAAACAGAGGUCGAACAGAGGCUGGAUCGCGCGGGAGACGCCUGGGUGCGAGGGGACGGGGGCUGGCGAAGCGCGCGGUGAGCGGCAGACGCGCUGGCGCUGGCGGCAGAACGACAGUGAGCGGUGGGUGGCGACGGUCCUCGGCGAGCUGCUGCUUUUGUCCGCUGGCUUCGCAUUAGCAGAGAGGAAGAGAAGGAGGGCGGCGACGCCUGAGGGGCGUGAGGGAAGGGACGGACGGCAGCUCGGUUGGGUGGCGCACGCGUGAACGGCGAAACGGUGGGCGGUUGCUGCUCCGGCUUCAAGCGAGCUGCUCCGGUCUUCCUCUUCUUCAUCUUCUAGUUUUCGCUCGAGCAGAGAGAGUCGAGAGAGAGAGAGAAGAUAAAGAUUUAACUGGUCAAAAGAAAAGAGAGAGAGAGAGAGAGAGAGAGGAGUGAGUCGGUGGGGGAGCUGUUCGCACGAAGGGGGAGGGGAGAGGAGAGAGAAGAGAGAGAGAAAAGGGAGAGAGAAGAAAGAGAAAUAAAAUAAUAAUAUUAUUUUUAUUUUUAUUUUUCUCUUUCUUUUUCCUUUUCUAUUUUCUUUUGGUCUUCGAUUUUUCCUCCGAUAAUUUCUUUCUUGAAAUUUUGGACUCGUUAGUAAAUUGACAGAUGAUGAGACGGGUCCUAAAAAUGAAUUGUGACACACUCGAAUAUUCGAUUCCCGAAACCAAUUUAAAUUUCAUGGUUAAAAUCGACCGGACGUGAUUUUAGUUCAAUUUAACCAAUUAGGUAGCUUUUAGGGAUUUUACCGCGGAUAUAUCCCUUAACGGCUUCACCCAAUAGGUUAAUUAACUCGUGAGUGAUCCGCUCAGAGAAAAAGGACCAUAGGCGCGCCGACGAUAUGCACAUUUCAUUUUAUCGAAACGGGAUCGAAUUUUAGGAUGUCAUAAAAUUCGAACUGAAUAAUUUCACAAAAUUCACAGAACCGCAAGGGAUCAACAUAUAAGUUUUCCAGAUCUAGUAUCUUUGAAGAAAAAUGGUUUCACCAUCCAAUACUUGUUCGUUUUAUCUCAAAUUUUAGUAUGUUAAUCUUCAAAAAGUCCUCUACAACUUUCAUCAAGAAGUCGAAGUGAGAUUCCAACUAGAACAUUGCAUGCAGCUCACGAAAUUACCAAAGGUCGGACUGUUUUUCCAGUAAACAGAUUUCUAGACUAAGGCACUAUUCCCAUAACUUCGAAAAUUCUCACCUCCACCACCUCCAAAAUUCACCAUACAUCACACACAAUCACAGCAAGCAAAGUGUAGAUCAAUGGGCUAUACUUGCCUUAGAUCCGACAAAAUCAAACAAGAAACAGCGACUCGGGGACUUCAAACACAACAUGGUCGACGGCAAAGCUAGGCACACGCACAGCGGGGCUUGGUCUUCCUCUUCCCUUGCCGAAGCACCCACGAACUCUCUCUCUCCCUCGGCUUUCUCUCUUUCUCUCUUCCUCUCCUUCUCUCUUUCUCUCCCUCGCACGACACUCCUCUCUCUCAGUUCAAUCUCUCGAGUAAUCUGUCCCCUCUCUCCUCUUUUUCUUCUCUCACCCAUGAUUAGCAAUCAUUAGAUUGCAUGCAAUGACCACUUGGUUGCUCCCUCUUGCCACUUGUCAUUUUUCUCAUGCAAGAUGGUGGGCUUUCUUUGGGCCGAAUUUGGGCCAACUUUUUGGCCGACCAAAUGGGGAGAAACGGUGGGGGAUUCGGUGAGGCAGUGGGCUGGUUCGGCCUUAAGAAAAUCAGCCCACGCUUUCUCCAAUUUUUUUUUUAAUUUAAUCCCCUCCUAUAUAAAUACAUAAUUACAAUUUAUAUGGCCAUAAAACUUUGUAACAUAAUUCAAUAAAAAUUCAACUUUUAAGGUACAUGGCCAAGAAUAAAAUUUUCCUAUCAAUUUGUUCCCUAGUACAAUCCUUGAUUAUCAUGGACAUAGAAUAUAUUUUCAACCAAAUAAUUGUCCAUUAAUUGCUCGGCCUUGAUCCAUUGAAAUUCAUUGGUCUAAUAGCUAUAAUGAAAUCCGAUGGUGCUUCCAUCACCUAUUCAUGGUUCAUGGUAUAUCCAGGGGUUGCUAUGAAAUUUUAGGAUGCCACAAUUGUCGUCUGGUAUAACCGUAAGUCACUAUACAUUGGUGGUGAAUAAAUCACAGCCAAGCUAUAUCAUGUUCAAUCUCGUUUUGAUUCUCAUAAAAGACCAUUCCACCAAAGUUUGAGAAAGAGAGUCUUCAACCUAAUUUAAAUUCAAAAUAAGUGGAAACGGUAUGAGAUAUGCUCAGGGAUCAGAAGUUUAGUUAAGUUGAGAAAUUAUGGAUAUAUGAAAGCAGUUAAGUUAAGAAAUCAUGGAUAUAUGAAAGCAGUUAAGUUACGAAAUGGACAUCGACUUGGUAAUAAUCGAAGGGAAUCUAAGACUUAUAAAUAGAAGAAAUGCAGAGGAAAGAGAUAUGUUCAAAUUACGCUAAGACCCUGCCAAAAUUAUUGCUCAUUUCCCUUCGAGUAUUGUUGUAACGUUCAUGUUAAUGUUUCCAUUCGAGCGUCAUUUGUACAAACUGUGAUUAAUUUCAAUUCCAGCAAUGUUUAUGUUCUUGUAAUCUGGUUUUCAGUUGAUUUCAUUUGGCUCUUUCCUUUGAGUUUAGUGUUCUUUGCUUUGAUUUCCUUUAUUUCUUGCAUUGCAGCUUUAAAUAAUUCGCAGUACUGCCAAUUUAAUUUCUGAGCAGUUGACUCUUCUUGUCGAUUAUAUCAAUUUCCAUCAAAUCAGUUUAUACAUUUCUUUCAAGAGCUGGAAUGCAUACACGCGCACCAUCAAAGCCAUCUUUGGAAAAAUUGUUUUGUGAGAAGUUUGAUCGCUUUAGAGUCAAGCUAGAAUCAGAAAGUAAAGCUUGACAACCAGAUCAACUAACAUCUAGCGAAUACAACAAUAAGCUUGUUAUUUGUUUUCCCAACUGCUUGACGGCCAGAUCAACUAACACUAGCAAAUUUGCUACAACAAUAAGCUUGUUAUUUGUUUUCCCAACUGCUUGAUGGCCAGAUCAACUAACAUCUAGCGAAUUUGCUACAACAAUAUCAUAUAGCUAAACAGGCCAAUGUACACAAGUGGUUGCACAAUAAUAGGAUUCUAAAGUUAGCCACCACUGGUUCAAGAGGUGACUCCCACCAUGUGAUAGUUUUUCCUAACAAGGCUCAAAAGGCGGCUUCCACAACGUAACACUUUAUCCCGUGUGGCUUUCGAUUUGCAUUGUACACAAAUGUCAUUUCAUAUUCAAUGUACGGGUCACAUAUCUUAUGCUCAAUAUAUUACCCAAUGAAUAAUGAUUCUUCGAGCAGACUUGUGGUAUGUGGUUAUGUACUUGCUUUCCGACCCCAUAUGGUUUUCAAUAAGAGUAAUGAAUCUUGAGCUGAAGGAAUGUGCUGACUCUACAUACCAAAUUGAGCUGGCUCUAGAAGAACUUGUUACAUGUCUGCUUGCUAUAUUCCACUUCGGAAUCUGUAUUGAUGCAAGCUUUGCCAUCAAACUACUGAUAUACCAAUAGAAUUGUGGGUGCAAAUUACAGAGUAAAUUACGGCUCAAAAUUAUCAAUCAAAGAACAUGAUAUAUACUUUCUACCUUUGCUUUUGAUAUUAUGAAGAGCGGUGUACUAAACCUAUAUUUGGCGACAGCCCUUCGAAUUUUCUCUGCGGGAGUUCGAUGUGUAGACUUAAUUCUUACUCAGCUCAUAAAUCUGAAAAUUCUCAAUAUGAAUAGAAGUAUCUUUUGGCCUGAGCAACACAAAAAUAUGAGAGAGCAAGCUUGCUUCAUGUCGUACGGUGUGUUCGACUGAUACAUUCCAUGACUCUGAUAAUCUCAUAUUCUUGAAAAACGGAUUCAAUAGUUAUUUUAUGAGUGCCAUGAAUAGAUCAUAUAUGAAGAUUAUUUGUCCGCUAGCUUUACAAAAUGAGACCGUAUGUUACAUUUUCUUGGAUAAAAAAGGAAGGAGAAGUUAGACAAAAAGGUAUCUUGGUUUUAUAAUGUACCAUUAGUUCUUGAACAUUUUAUAGCUAAUUGGGAUCUUAAACAACCUAGUUUUAUUUUUACUCUUUUUUUGUCCGAUGACUUCAAAGUAGCUUAAUUGAUCUCUCGUGCAUCGUGAUUCUCAUUUUUAGCUGUGGUACUCUAUCCUCUUGUCUUCUUCAAAGCAUUUUUUUGCACAUCGUGAGUUUUGUUUCGCGCUCAAGCGAAGGCUGGGGCACAAUUACAAGGGGAUAAUGGAGUGCCGUGAUGGAAAUGAUGAUUGAUGAGGCGGAGAGCGAGGGUGAUAGAGUCUCUUUGGAGUGCUCUGUUCUGUCCAAAAUUCCACGAGGUAAGAAUGGAACAAACUCAUCUAUGAAUUUGAAUGAUGGCUUGGGCAUAGAGGGAGAGUUUAGAGCUUCCAAAGCCAUCGAAAGCUGCGUGAACAAGAUUAUCUUCCACCGCCAGUGCUUGUCCCUUCUAUAUUUCGUCUGAAGAAACCCCAUUGUUUGACGUCCGCCAGGUGUUUGUGAUUUUGCCUAACUGAAUCCAGCUUUAAAACACCCCCUCCUCCCAAAAAAAAAAAAAAAAAAAAGCCAAAACAAAACCAAACCCGUUGUUUAAUUUACCGGUUAAAAUGUUUUGACUACUAGUUUUGUGAAGUUUGUUCUAUUUGUUUUGUUUAGUAUUUUUAUGUGGCAGCUUGUUUCAAAGCAAAGCGGCGUUCUAUCUAUUAUAUCAAUGCUCAGGUCAAUUAGAUGGAUCAGGAUAUUCUAUAUACUCAAAAUUUCAUGUAAAUUUGUUUUUGGAGGAUUGCUGCUAUCCCUCGGUGUAAUGCUGGAAUAAAACUGGUGUAAUGUGAUCGUGUCUUGUAGACUUGUCGUGGAUGAGAAUUGUUCUUGUUGUGCUUGGGAGGCAGUCUAUUUUAAUCUCAUGCUGUUGGUACAUAUCCACUAGCAUCUAUUUGUUUUUCUUCCCAAACCUGUUAAGUUGUUCGCUUUUAUAUUGAUAUAGGAAGGACUUAUGUAAAAGUACCAACUACGGAUGAAAAGUUGAAGUUAACUCUUGAAAAUACUGCUUAGUGGAGGACUCUAACUGAGCCUAACAAAUAGCAAGAGAGACAAUAGAGCAUGGGGGCAAGUUUCUAUUUGAAUUUGGAAAGUGAAGUUCUUGUUAUGUACCAUUUGAGAAGGUAAUCUUGUCGUGGUUUUGAUUUUUUUUUUUUUUGUAACUUUUGUGCAUCAUUGCUAGAAAGGAUGAUGUCGAGAUGACUUUGUUUCUUAUGAUUUUUUAUUUGAUCAGAUUGUUUUCUUAUGAAUUAAAAAGUAGAAAUGAGAAACUAAUUUGAGUUGGAUGGCCUCGACCCAAUGCUUGCUGACCCCAAGUUUAUAAUGCAUAAUAUUCUUGCAAGCUAGGAAUGCUUGGAUAGAUAGCAUACGCAUAAGAUGCGGGUGAUAAUUUUAAGAAACAUAUAUCUAAAGCUGUUGAAAAAGCCAGGACCGAACCAGUCUGAAUGGAAUUGACUCAAAUCAAACUGCUUAUUUCGAAUUUUUUGGGCCGGGUAUUCUAUGUGUUCAGGUAUUAUGUGAAAAAUCAGAUAUCAUAAAAUACACUACUCUCCCAGAUCAUUACCAAAUCCAUCUUCUCCAGUAGAGACUCUUUAGCUCCCAAAUCCGUUGUCUCCAUUGGAUACUCCCCAUGAUCGUGAAGCUCUUUGCUUUUGAAUCCAUCUUUUCCAAGAGUGUGAAGCUCUCUUGCUCCUGUACUUUCUUAUUGUCUUUGCGUUAUCUUUGCGUCUACUCCUAUUUCCUCUUAGAUCCACAAGGAGUACGACAAUUUGGUCUGUCUAAAGAGUAACUCUAAUCAAAUUAUUUCGCUCGCUGUCUACGCUCCACUGUCGUUAAUUUCUUUAUCUUUAUCUUUGUUGUAUUUGUUUUUGUUUAUUCGGCUUAGUUUAAUCAACAUAUGAAAAAGUUGCGAACCAAUAAUUUUGUUGUUGUAAAGAUGUCAUUUCUCUUAAUUUUAUUGUCAAUUAAUUUCAGAAUAUCAUACUUUUCAAAAUUGAAGGUAUAUCUCCCCCAUCUCACAAUUAUUUAAAUUUCUUUCCAAUUGCCUUGUUAAACGUUUAUCUCUUCUGCACACAAACAAUAUUUUUUCUUUAUCUUCCGUUUGCGUUUCUUUCAUGCGCACACAUGUGGUUUUAAUUGUUCACAAAUUUGAUGAUUUACGAUGUUUUCAUCAUGUCUAAAAUGGGUGUCGUUUAUGUCAUAAAAUCUUAAAAAAGAAAAAAGGCAACCCGCAUUCGCCAGUUUGAAAACCUGAGGCACGAUACAACAUUGUACUGUUUACUUCUAUUAUUUUGGGCAUUCCCACGUCCCACCUGCGCCACCACGACCACAGAGAAAAGCCACUCCCUAAUCAGUUUCACUUUUCACGCUAAACACAAAUAGUUAAAGAAAUAACCAGAAACCUUAGUACCAGCCGGUGAAAUGAAGUAGCAAUAUUUCAUAUGAUUAAAUAAUGACCAUAAGAUGAUAAAAAAAAAAUCAUCAUGAAAAUAAAAUCCAAGAGUGGUCGUUGAAUAAUUCAUUAUGUGCUUACCAAAAGGCAAUCAAGGAUCAUGUGAGGCCAAUGAAGUUCGAGUAGGUGUCAACGUUCCUAAUCAGCUUAUUUCGUACCAUGAUCAAGAUCAUGCUUGUCAUGACGCUCGUUGGCUGAAUCUGCUCAUUGUUCUUGGAGCUGCGACACCCUUGCUCUCCGGCAGCGGAGCUCAAGCUGAGCUUGUUGAGCUUGGCAGGCCCUACCGCCUCCUUCUCUGCAAUUCCCUCAUCCCUCUCUCAUCUCCUUUGCUCGUUAAUACAGCUUCAUUUCCUUAAUUAAUCCUAUGUGAUUAAAAAGUUUUCAUACAGGUCCUGGGGAUCCUUGGGAGAUAUGGAAACCUCUUUACAAUGUGGAAACCAUUCUGGCAUCUAUCUUCCAAUUAGGAGAAUGUCGACUCAAAAUGAUUUCCUGUCAUAGAGAGAGAGAGAGAGAGAGAGAGAGAGAGAGAGGGUCUGACCUCGAGAGUCCCUGCUUAGUGCACUAUACAAAGUAGACAAGUUUCUUUAGAAUAAAUGGGGUCAUUGUCAAGUUCGCCUUAGAGCAUCUGAAGGGGUCCUAAGGAAGUGUGAGCAAUUGAAGUGUCGUUGUGCUCCAAUAGCCUUAGCCAGUCGAAACAAAUCAGAUGCUUGAAACAGGCUAGGAGGAACACAAUCAAAUAUGUUUGAGCAAUCUCUAGUGUCAUGUUGAGAUGUCCAAAAAUCGUUUUCCAAUCUGUUCGAUGAUAUAAAUGGAUAUCUUUGGGAGUAGGGCAUACAAAAGGUCGAAUACAAAACCAUGACAUCGUGUGAUCACAUUUUGGUCAACCUUUUACAUACUGGACCUUAUUCUAAAGGAAGAAGAAGGUUCAAAUCAAACAGAGCCAGAGAAAGCCGGUCGAGUUAAAAUGGAUUCAAAGGAAGAUCAUCACCUUCCCCAGGAAAGGCGUGACAACCAUGACUAUGGUGUAGUACGAGUUCAAAUGGCACCUGCCGUUAUAGUAGUGCUGGCUCGCAACACUCAAUAUUUGUUGGAUUGAUCGCGGCUUCUUAAGGAAAUUAUUCUGAGGGAAACGAAGCGGCCUAUUUUGAUUUUCAGGCCUUCAUGUUUUACCUUUUCCUUUUUCAUUUUUGUCCCCAGAAGAACUUGUUACAUGUCUGCUCGCUCAAUUCCAAUUCCAAAUCCAUAUUGAGACAAGCUUCGUCCUUCAGGAUACUGACGUGCCAAGAGAAUUGUCGGGUGCAAUCAUUUCAGUGUGAAUCGUGAUAAAAACUUUCAUUCAAAUUAUUGUGGUCAAUCUACCUUUCCUUAUGACGUUGGGAAGAGCCGUGUACUAGAUCUAAAUUUGGUAAUAGCUUUUCGAGUAACUUUUUGCAGGGAUUCGGUGCGUGGACUUAAUUCUUACUCAGCUAAUAAAUCUGAAAAGUUCUCAAUAUGAAUAUAAAUAUUUUUUGGCUUGAUCAACACAAAAAUAUGUUAGAGCAUGUCACGGGGCGUACUUGAUUGAUACCUCCCAUGACUCUGAUAAUGUCAUAUUCAUGGGAAACCAAUUCAGUAGUUACUUUAUGAGUGAAGUGGAUAGAUGAUGUAUGAAGAUUGUCCAUCCGCUAGCUUUACUAAAAGAGAUAAUCUAUGUCACUUUUUUUUUUCUAGAUAAAAGAAGAAGUUAGAUGAGAAGGUCUUUUGGUUUUAUAAUGUACCAUUAGUUCUUUAACUUUUUGGUAGCCAAUUGAGAUCUUAAACAACCCAAUUUUAUUUUAACAAUACAGUUACUAAAAUUUAAUAUAUUAUGGUAUACUAAUGAGAUGACGGUUUUUUUUUUCGACAAAAUGAGGUGAUGGUUGACAUGGCAGAUUACGUGGGCAUUUGAUACAACGCUUAGUAAACGUGCGUGAGGAAUAUAAAAAGAAAAGCAAAUCAUAAUGGUUGAAGAUCAUGAAAGCGAUGGCUUUGAGGGUCUUGGGUCGAACCUAUUUGACUUCUCCUACUCUCCAUCCUCUGGAUUUCCUCUUUCUUUGUUCUUUUUUCCAAUGACUUCAAAGAAGCUCGAUUGAUCUCUGGUGUAUCGCGACUAUCCUGUGCUACCAGGGUGUUACGAAAUCGCAUGUCGAUUCCAGAAAAAUAACGCUCGCAAACAAUUCACCAAGCAGAAUAUAAUAAUAAAAGAAUAGAAUUAGAAGAACAUGCCAGAAGAUUUGUUAACAAAGUUCACCUAAACCUGGGCUACGUCUCUACGCAGAGGUACUCUACAAAUCCACUAGACUUCAAAAAAAGUUGGAAUACAACGAUGAUCUUCUCUCAAGAUCAGGGCACAAAGAGAUUGAGAACCCUCGUAAAGAAAAAGAACUCACUUUUUUCUUCUCUCUUUUUCUUACCUCUCUAUUUUCUCGACCAGCGUCUUGCCAUCGCUAAUAUAAAGGUAUUACUUUUAACCUAAAAGCAAAUUUGAUAGAAAAAACAAAAAGCCCCUAAAAAUAUUUGGCUUCAUCUAUAACAAUCUGCCACUUGAAGACAAAUAUACCCAAGCACCAAGCUACUUUGCAUCCAUCUUCUUCAAAAAAACUAGUACUUGAAAAACUUGUGCCUCUACGAUACUCCUCAUCAAUCAACAUGGAGCAAUAUCAAUGGUAGCAGUACAGAAAAUAUGAUUCUCUCUAUCUACUACCUUGGUCAACAUGUCAGCUGGAUUCUUCAAGCCAUCAAUCUUCUGUAGCUUUAACUUGUUAUCUUUCAAUGCUAAUCUAAUAAAGUUAUAAUGCUUCUUGAUAUGUCUAGUCCUUGAGUGAUAAGCUGCAUUCUUUACCAAGUACACUGCACUUUGACUAUCACUCCACAGUGUACUGACUAGCUAUUUUCGAUGUAGCUCCUCCAUGUAAUCUUGUAACCAUAUGAUUUCCUUGGAGGCUUUUGUGAUUGUCACGUUUUCUGCCUCUAUCGUCGAUAAAGCUACUACUUUUUGUAAUUGAGAUACCCAACUCACUGUUGUACCUGCAACUGUAAAGACAUAUCCAGUGGUACUCUUACCACUAUCUCGAUCACCCGAAUGAUCUGUAUCUACAUAACCCUGCAACUCUAGAGAUGUACCAUCAUAACACAGUGAGUAAUUGGAAGUACCUGCUAGAUAUCUCAAUAUCCAUUUCACUACAUUCCAAUCCUCCUUACCUGAAUUCUACAUAUAUCGACUCACAACUCCCACUGCCUGUGCAAUGUCUGGUCUCAUACUCACCAUGGCAUACAUCAAACUCCCCACUAUUGAUGUAUAUGGAACUACCGCCAUCUCAUCUUUCAAAGCCUGAGUGCUCGGACACAUAUCCUUGAAGAGUUUGAAGUAACUCACUAAAUGAGUUGCAACCGAUUUUGCCUUGUCCAUGUUAAAUCUCUUAACACCUUGUUCAGAUAGUCUUCCUAUGACAGCCAUAGUUUCUUAUUUUUCCUGUCCUUGAUGAUUUUUCAAGCCUAAAAUAUUCUUGGCCUCUCCUAAGUCUUUCAUAACAAAUUGUGAUAAUAACAUCUUCUUCACUUCUACGAUUCUCUUCAUAUUGGAACUAGCUACCAGCAUGUCAUCAACAUAUAAAGAGAGAUACACAAUGUCACCAUCGUCAUACUUGCAAAAAUAAAUAUAGUGAUCAGACUCACAGUGUGCAAACCAUUUUCUUUCAUGAAACCAUCAAAUUUUAGGUACCAUUGUCACGGAACUUGUUUCAAGCCAUACAAGCUUUUCUUCAAGCGACAUACCAUGUGCUCCUUACCUUUGACUUCAAAACCCUUAGAUUGUGCCAUGUAUUCAUCUAAGUCACCGUGAAAAAACGUUGUUUUUACGUCUAACUGCUCAAGAUGAAGAUCAUCCACUACAACUAUACUCAACAGAACUCUAAUUAAUGUCAUUUUCACUACAGGUGAAAAUAUCUCGGAGUAAUCGAUCCAUUCUUUUUUAGAAAAGCCCUUAACUACAAGUCUCGCCUUGUAUCUAAUACUACCAUCGCUUUAUUCUUAAUCCUAUACACCCAUUUGUUUAAUAUUUUUUUUUUUACCUGUGGGCAACUUGGUCAACUCCCAAGUUUUGUUCUAAUGUAACGAGCUCAUCUCGUCUUUCAUAGCACACUCCCACUGCAAGUGAGACGUGUCUACCUUUGCCUCAUCGUAAGUCUCCAGUUCCCCUAAAUUUGUAUAUAAGACAUGGCUCAGAAUAGUAUUAGCUAAUGGAUUAAAAAUUACCUUUAGCUUUCUCACAUGUGUAAACCUCCUCAAUACAGGUACUUCAGGGUUGUUAGUUUGCUCCGCAUCACUGCGUUCAUCUUGAACUACGUCUUCACUGAUAAUAAGCUCAUCUUGAACCUCUCUUUCAAGUGCACUUUGAUCUACUGGAAACAUCUUCACGGGCAUUGUGUUUAAUUCAACAUAUUCUGGUUCUACUACCUUCUCAUGCUCUGUCUGACAAUCCUUGUACAUCUUUUCUUCAUGGAAUACCACAUUCCGACUGCGGAUGACUUUGUUAUUCUCAUAAUCCCAAAGCCUAUAGCUAUCACGCCCCAAUCCUCAGGCACGUACACAUCCCUUACCUUUGGUCGAUUUUAAAAGCGAUAUCGCAGGACGUAUCGCCAACCCUUUUCAUUUUAAUAUGCACAUGCGAAAGCAAUUAUAAUCCCAGACAAUAAAACAAUGGAACAUAAAAGGAGGGCCAUAUUUUUCAUAUUGAAAUUCACAACCAAACCUUUAUACAACCAUACCUCAAGGUAUUUUACCAUACUAUUCACAAAGGCCUAGUCUCACACUCAACCACCUAUAAACAGGGUUCACAAAGAGGAUGGGAUCAUAGUCCUCAUCCGGGUCAUACUCAAAUCAUCAUCGGGGUUCUCCUCUAGGUACUCCUCUUUGGGUUCUUUCUCCUUAGGCUCCUCAUCAGGGUCCUGAAAUGUUGUCCCACAACCAGGAUGAGAUUACAUCUCAGCAAGUUCUACCCCCUAAGACUCGACUAGUAAACCAAUAUGCUAUCCGAGCUGCCUAUGCACGGACGGGUCAGAGGACUUACCUUGGCCUCAGAUUCAACCUGCAUAUUAGCACAGUUCAAUAGGCACCCAAGCAAUCACAUCACAAAUCGUUAUCUCGAUCAAUCGGCCUAGUCGAUUACAUGUCAAUCGAACCAUUCACUGGUCAUUUCAAUUCAAUCAAUCAGAUUACGGCAUCAGAUCAAAGCAAUGAUCAAUCGACCUAGUCGAUUACAUGUUAGUUGAACCAUUUCUAGGUCAUCUCACUCCACAUUAUAUAAUCUCCAAUAGUAUACUUAGUCACAGAGCUACAUUAAUGCUCUCGAGCGUCGUUUUCGCCAACGUGAUGUACAAUAAACACUUUAUGCGCAUGCUUUUAGGCAUUCCAAUUACUUUCAGCCACACGGGCACGAUACUCAACACAUAGGAAUACGACCACGUAGGCACGAUUUACGCCACACAGGCAUGUUCUAUGCCACACAGGCAUGAUCAAUUAUCGCCACACAAGCAUGAUCAAUUAGCGCCACACACAAUUAUCACCACACAGGCAUGAUCUAUAUUCAACAAUUUACGUGCAUUCUCUAAGGCAUCCUAUAUGCCAAAGCGAUGUAAUAAUCGCCGAGCCACGCCACACAGCAUUUUUUCUCAUCUUUUAUCAUACCCGAUAAAAUAUCGUGCGUGGGCACACGGUUGGCCUUAGCCAAAAUAUAAUAUUUUCAUUUCCAUAACUCCCACAUAUUCUGUAGUAUACUCAAAUAUUUUUGGCAUUAUCAACCGAUUCCUGGUUAUUUUUCAAUUAAUAACCAAUGAUUAUCUAAUUAAAGGAUAAUUCUCAAUUUCACAAAUAAUUCAAUUCAGCACAAAAUAAAGCUCAAUUAAAUAAACGGACUGCACCACAACAAUCGGCAUGAAAUUCCGGUCGUUGGCUAUCCCUGUCUAAUUUCUGGAAAUUAAUUAAUUAAUUAAUUAAUUUCGAAUAUUAAUAAUUAAAUACUAAAAAUCCAAUUUAGGCCCGUAAUGCCUGAUUGAGGCCCGAUAAGGGUCGGGAAAAAUCCCGAGAUGCAUUCAAUAAAUAAUAAUACGUCUCUACUUGCUAAUGACUAAGUCUAACCACCUAACAUACAUCAUUAAGUCACUAAUUUAAUUGUCCUAAACUAAUCUAACCACCUAAUUGCACUUAAUUAAAUCUAAUCAAUCCUUAAGCAUAAUUAGCAAACUAAGAAAGCAUUAGUGAGUAAAACUCACUUGAUUAAAAGCGGGAACCGGGACACUACGAUGGCGACGCGAUAGUGGCCGAAAUCGGGCUUUCGAUGACACCGACGGACUUGGAUCGGGCCUUAAACUUGGGCCCAACAAAUCUCAGCCCAAAUGAGAUUUGUUCUUGCACUGGACUGGGCUCGCUCUUGGGCUUGUUGCAGCUGGGCUGUUACUUGGGCUUUUCUAUUUUGAAAAUGGGCUGACUUCGUUGUGCUUCAUUGGACUGGGCUUCAAGAGGACUGAAACAAAAACCGAACUGGGCCUGUCUUUGAAUGGGCUGGAAAUUCACGGGCUUGCUGGGCUGUUGGAUUUGCGUUGGAGGAGCUAGGCCGAUCCACGAGCAAGAGAAGACUGAAGCCGCUGGAUUCGUGGGCUUCGGUCUUCACGUGGGCUGAACGAAGGAAGCAACAAGGGACGCUGGAAUUCACUGAGGCCAAAGGAACACAUGAGCUGCAACAAGCGUGCGCUGGGUCUUCGACUGGCGGUGAGGAGACGCGGUAGGUGGAGUCUUCAAGCAGCUGCCGGCGUGUUCUUCCAGGAACGAAAGAAAUGGGCGCUGGCCGCGUGGAUGAAGGUUGCUCGGUCAACAAAAGGCUUCACUCAGUGGGGGAAAUUGACCGAAUGAAACGCAGCUUGGUGGAGGAGUAGGCACAGAGAGAGAGAGACUUGGUGGAAGAGCUACUGCAGGGGAAGACUUCGGUAGAACUCUGGGCUUCGUUGACAGGCUUGGACACGUGGCAAAGGGGUCAACAAUCUUGCUGAGAUUGACUAAAAUCUCGGUGGGUUGGUCUUCGGUGCAGCUUGCAGGGAGAGAUCGACGAGGGAAAUGAAAACAGGCUGGGUUGUUGCUGCGUGGAGUUGGCGUGAGGCUUCGGUGGAUGCUGCUUGAACGAUGGAGGCUGAAGACGCGGAGAUGGGAUGAGCUUCGGAGGGAUUUCCAGGGAAAUGAAAAGCAAAGUGAAAGCACGCGCAAGAGGAGUCGGUGAAUGGCGUGCCGGAGGAGAUUUGGAGAUAAAAGGGACAAAAAGUCAAUAAGGUUAUCUAUCCAAUUUAAUGCUUGUCCCCCAAAAGCACCCAUGUUUAUCCCUCGGUCCUUUACUUCUUUUUAGACAAAUAAAUCCACCAAAUAAUCCCAUUUUGAGCCAGGAAUAUUCAGCCCUCCCACAGCUCCGAAUUUUACAUUUCUGGUCUUCAAUUUCUUCGACAAAAUCCCAAUCCGACGUCCCAUUUCAAUGAAGAAAAAGCCCGUAGAAUUUCUAUAAGUGCCCCUCGUCAAAUAGCUCAACUUGCAAGUCCAAAUUUCCUUCGACUUAGCCAAUCCGAAUUUCCGCAACGUCUGAAUCGAUUUUCCUUAAAAAUCUCGGAAUCUCUGACAAAUCUUUUGAGACUGAGUUGACGUUCCUAGAAUUUAUUGUGACAUAAGAAUCUUCAAUUUCUGAAAUCAGACUCAAAUUAGUGGUUACUUUCACCUUAACACGUUUUUAGCAUGACCUAAGCUACCAUGUAGCUUUCAGAACUUUUUAGGGCAAAUGACCCGUGGUCGAUUUUCUUCGAGCCACAAUGAACCCAGCCGACACAUUGGUGGCUCUCGGUUGUCGUGAAAAUCUCGAGGGUUCAAAUACGGAUACAGGGUACCAAAACAAUAAGAAAAUCAGUCUAGUGUGGACUGACGAGAAUUUUUUCAAUUUAGUGGUGUCACCGACGAUUAGCCACAUAUCUCAAUCGAACCAACCUAUCUCUGAUCUCGAAUCAAUUUAUAUCUUUGCCGUAAUAACUUCUAAAGAUAAAUACGGUCGAGAAGCCGAUUUCCGGUCGAAUUCUCAAGUCUAUUUGCCUUAAAAUUCUUAAUGGCUUUCCCUGAUAGUCUAGUUAUCUCGAGAGUGAAGCUCUGAAAACAACCCUAUAGACACGUCAAUGAAAUGCCUGAUUUAUUCAGUAGAAAACAUGACUGAAAAUCAGGGAUGUCACAACUCUUCCCCUCUUAUAAAAAUUCCGUCCUCGAAAUUUAAACAUUUACCAAUCCUUAAACAAAAAGGUGGGGAUAUCAUCGUCUCAUCUAGUCUCACUUUCCCUGGUUGCUUCUUCAGUCCCGUGGCAUUGUUAGACCACUUUGACCAAGGGGACCUUCUUGAUACACAGAAUCUGAUCUUUCUGAUCCACAAGUUGAACCGAGCUUUUCAUGUACGACGCUCUAUCGUCCACGCCUAAUUCUUCAAGAUUUAGCACGUAGGUCAUGUCAGGCUCAUAUGUCCUCAACAUCGACACGUGAAAGACGUCAUGCACUUGCGUUAACCUCGACGGCAAUGCAAGACGAUACAAUAGGAUCCUGAUUCUUUUCAGAAUUUCAAAGGGAUCUACGUACUUCGAUUUCAGUUUUCCUUCCUUGCUGAAAUGCAAGGUAUCCCUCAUUAGUGACACCUUCAGAAAGGUGUACUCACCAAUUUAGAACUUUUGGGGCCUUCAAUGCUCAAUAAUUCAAUUAUUCUGGUAGUUCUGAGCGGUCUGUACUUUGGCACUGAUCACGGCAAUUGCAACUACUAACUGCUGAACUGACCCUCAGCCUGUGAUCUUUCUUUCUCUGAUCUCAUCUCAACUAAAAUGAAGUUUUGCACACUCUACUCUGUUUUGCCUCAAAAGGAACUAUCUUAUUGAUCUGCUGAAAUUGGGAACCUCGGUUCUAGAUCCGAUAUAAAUUCGUCACUAGUACUCUACACAGACGAACUGUCUGACACACAUACACUUCGGUAUGCCUAUUCCAAUCAAUAUCCUUCCAUACAGUGAUAAAGUGGGCCUACUUUAUCGAUCUGUCGACCACUACCCCAACUAGAGUCAUUAUUCCUUUGACUCCUCAGUGAGUCCAUCACAAAGUCCAUCAUGAUGCGCACUAUUUUCCACUCUGGGGUCUCGAGAGGUCAUAAGAGUCCUCUCGGCUUACAAAGCUGUGCCUUGAUUAUUAUCUAAGCGUCCGACUCAAUUCUGAGAGCGGCUAUAAGAUUUGGAAGGUAGCCCAUCUCAAAUUGAAAACCAAACCUCGAACUUUCAAAAGUAAGGUCCAUUCUUUAACCAACAUAUGUGCAACUGAAGACUCCUAACUUAGCACAUAUGUGACUUAAUUCGCCCUCCCAAGGUGAUACAAAAUAUCACACCCUAGUCUUUCAAAAGUUCUAAUUCACAGUGCUAUCUCACAUUCAAUUCCUUCUAAAAGAAUAAAUACUGGAGACUUUGUUGAUCAGUGAAGGUCCAUAAUCUUUCUCCACACAACUAACGCCUCAAAGUUUUCAGUAUGAAAAACUUAUGUUGCGAGUUCCAAUUCACAUGUCGGGUAGUUCAACUCAUGAGAUCUCAACUAGUAGGACGUGUAUGCAAUACUCCUACCAUGUUGCAUCAGCACGUAACCCAGUCCUCUUAAUGACGCACCACUAUAGAUCUCGUAUCCUCCAAGACUAGAUAGAAUGGUCAGUACAGGUGCGGUAGUCAGCCUCUGUUUAAGCUCUUGGAAACUACGCUUGCACUUGUUUGUCCACACAAACUUUUCUUCCUUCUUUAGCAGUCCAGUCAAAGGGGGGGCUAUUGCUGAAAAUCUCUCCACGAACCUUCUGUAGUAUUUGGCUAAACCCAAAAAGCCUCUAAUCUCUGACACUGACAUUAAUCCGGCCAAUUGAUAACUACUUCAACUUUGAUCGGGUCCACGGAGAUUUCUUCGCCUGAAAUCACUUGGCUUAGGAAAGCAAUAUGAAUCUACCAAAACUCACACUUGCUGAACUUGGUGUAUAAUUCAUGAUCUCAUAGAGUCUCGAGUACUAUCCUCAACUAUCUCUCGUGCUCCUCAAUUAUCGUAUACACGACAGUCGUCAGGUAACCUUGACAACCCCCAUCUAACAAACGUGUUGUCUCUUGUGAUGAGGUUAGGAAAAUCGAAGUCCUCCUCGACUUUUAAUAAAUUCGAAAUUUUCCUCCGUUGACGGAUUAAACUGAAUCACAUUGCAACAACAAUUCAUUACAAUAAAAGCUCCUUAAGACAAACCUAUUUAUAUAUGGUAUCCAAGUUAUACAUAGGCAGAAUAUUCAAGUGUAACCCUAACCUGAAAUUCUCCUUUCUAUGACUUCAUUACAACAACUGAGGUUCUAGAAACUUUAACCAAAAUUCUGUUGCGCCACUCUGAUAAAAUUGUUCUGGGGACACUACCCUUCCUAUCCGGUGCAUAACUCACUUCAUCUCUAAGCUGGCGGCCUAUACAAUCCACCAUGCAGUGCAUCGUGCGGUGCAAUUCCUCGGUUCUAACCCAUCUAUGGGGGUGGCGGUAACUGUUGCAAUCCCAUCUGUCUUUGGGGACAAUCUUUGACCAGGUGGUCGUGCUGGCAACACUCGUAGUAAACUCUUGUCCUAGGAAAGCACGGGGCCGAUCCACGUUGUCUUCCACAAAGGCGACAUACAUCAAUCUGAUUGGGUUCCGACUUUCUAAUUCCACCCUUCUUACUGGGCGGAACAUGAGAUCUACCUCCACGCAUGGGUCUUUUUCCCUGGCAAAUAUUUUCUCUAUGAGAGCUAAACCUCGAUCUAGAUGAGGCAGCUCUCUCGUUCAGAUCCUUCUCAAUUUUCUAGGCUCUCCGAUAUAUGUCGUUGUAAGUCCUUAGUUCCAUAAGGACUAAGGUGCUUCUCGAGUCUGGUCUGAAUCCAUCUUUAAACCUUCUCGCUCAGUUUAUAGGGUUCUCAAUUAGCUCAGGGGCAUACCGCGAAAGUUCAGCGAACUUCGCCUCAUACUCAUCAACGGUUAGGGAACCUUGGCGAAGACGUUGAAAUUCGGUCAUCUUCAUCUCCCUAGCGGUCUCGGAGAAAUACUUAUCAUCGAAGGCUUCAAGGAAAAUGUUCCACUCAUGAACAGUGCCUUCUAGAAAGAUUGUUUCUCGAGUCAUCAUCCACCAAGUGUUCACAACUCCUUCCAGCUGGUAAGUUGCUAAGACUACCUUCUCAGUCUCAUUGCACAUCAGCAGUGCAAACGCUUUCUCAAGCUUCUGAACCCAUGAAGAAGCAGCUUCAAGAUCUCUUGUCCCAGUGAACAACGGUGGGUUCAAUUUCAGGAAUUGCUCUACCAAUUUAUGGAUUGGUCUUGUAGAGACUACAAUCCCCGGUGGACCUUCAACAUUCACUGAGGCGGGAGCAACGGCAGGUGCAACUGCAGGUGCGACAACAGGGGCAGCCUCAACGGCGUCAGCAACAGCGGCGGUAGCAGCGGCUUCAACUGUAGCAACUUGCUGAUCUAUUUUGUUACCCAAGGUUUCAAGUACACGCAUGAUCACAUCGAACCUAGGAUCAUCAAGGGCUACUAGCCCAGCACCAACAGGAGGUGGUGCUUCACCAUUAGCGCUAGCCACAGCUGGCGCUUUACCACGGCCUCCUCGUGCACCGACCCUGGUCGGCGUUCUGCCCUUGAGUCACGGCCCUACUGGCCCUCUUAGCAAGCAUUCUUGGCUCCUGAUCGCUCAUGGUGUCACUUUAAUCUACUAACACUUGUUUCCAAUUCAACUCCGAAUUAGAAACAGAGCGAUUCAAAUGAUCAGCAAUUUUAGCACUCAGCUAACCCAGACAUGCACCAACAUGAAUUUAAAAGCCAUCCUACUACUAUCCCAUGAACCAUCGCUCCUUAUCACUCCAAUCUUGAACUUCGCUUUGAUACCACAAAAGGACAUGUCACCCCUCGAUCCUCAGGCAUGCACACAUCCCUUACAUUUGGUCGAUUUUAAAAGCGAUAUCCCAUGACGUAUUACCGACUUUUUUCAUUUUAAUAUGCACAUGCAGAAGCAAUUAUAAUCCCCAGAUAAUAAAACAAUGGGAUAGAAAAGUAGGGCCAUAUUUUUCAUAUUUAAAUUCACAACCAAACCUUUAUACAACCAUACCUCAAGGUAUUUUACCAUACUAUUCACAAAGGCCUAGUCUCACACUCAACCACCUAUAAACAGGGUUCACAAAGAGGAUGGGAUCAUAGUUCUCAUCCGGGUCAUACUUGGAUCAUCAUCGGGGUUCUCCUCUAGGUACUCCUCUUCGGGUUCUUUCUCCUCAGGCUCCUUAUCAAGGUCCUAAAAUGUUGUCCCACAACCAGGAUGAGAUUACAUCUCAGUAAAUUCUACCCCCUAAGACUCGACUAGUAAACCAAUAUGCUAUCCGAGCUGCCUAUGCAUGCACGGGUCAGAGUGCUUACCUUGGCCUUAGAUUCCACCUGCAUAUUAGCACAAUUCAAUAGGCAUCCAAGCAAUCACAUCACAAAUCGUUAUCACGAUCAAUCGACCUAGUCGAUUACAUAUCAAUCAAACCAUUCACCGGUCAUUUCAAUUCAAUCAAUUAGAUUACGACAUCAGAUCAAAGUAAUGAUCAAUCAACCUAGUCGAUUACAUGUCAGUCGGACCAUUUCUAGGUCAUCUCACUACACACUAUAUAAUCUCCAAUAGUAUACUUAGUCACAAAGCUACAUUAAUGCUCUUGGGCGUUGUUUUCGCCAACGUGAUGUAUAAUAAACACUUUAUGUGCAUGCUCUUAGGCAUUCCAAUUACUUUCAACCACACGGGCACGAUACUUGACACACUGGAAUACGGCCACGCAGGCACGAUCUACGCCACACAGGCAUGUUCUACGCCACACAAGCAUGAUCAAUUAACGCCACACAAGCAUGAUCAAUUAUCGCCACAUAGGCAUGAUCUAUAUUCAACAAUUUACGUGCAUUCUCUAACGCAUCCUAUAUGCCAAAGCGAUGUAAUAAUCGCCGAGCCACGCCACACAACAUUUCCUCUCAUCUUUUAUCAUACCCGAUAAAAUAUCAUGCGUGGGCACAUGGUUGGCCUUAGCCAAAAUAUAAUAUUUUCCUUUCCAUAACUCCCACAUUUUUUGUAGUCUACUCAAAUAUUUUUGGCAUUAUCAACCGAUUCCCGGUUAUUUUUCAAUUAAUAACCAACGAUUAUCCAAUUAAAUGAUAAUUCUCAAUUUCACAAAUAAUUCAAUUCAGCACAAAAUAAAACUCAAUUAAAUAAACGGACUACACCACCACAAUCGGCAUAAAAUUCCGAUCGUUGACUAUCCCUGCCUAAUUUCCAGAAAUUAAUUAAUUAAUUAAUUAAGUUUGAAAAUUAAUAAUUAAAUCUAAAAAUCCAAUUUAGGCCCGUAAUGCCUGAUUGAAGCCCGAUAAGGGUCGGGAAAAAUCCCGAGAUGCAUUCAAUAAAUAAUAGUACGUCUCUACUUGUUAAGGACUAAGUCUAACCACCUAACAUGCAUCAUUAAGUCACUAAUUUAAUUAUCAUAAACUAAUCUAACUAUAUAAUUGCACUUAAUUAAAUCUAAUUAACCCUUAAGCAUAAUUAGCAAACUAAGAAAGCAUUAGUGAGUAAAACUCACUUGAUUAAAAGCGGGAACCGGGACAUCGAGACGGCGACUCAACAGUGGCCAAAAUCGGGCUUUGGACGACACCAGCGGGCUUGGACCGGGCCUUAAACUUGGGCUCAACAAAUCUCAGCCCAACUGAAAUUUCUUCUUGCACUAGACUGGGCUCGCUCUUGGGCUUGCUGCAGCUGGGCUGUUACUUGGGCUUUUCUGUUUUGAAAAUGGGCUGACUUCGUUGUGCUUCGUUGGACUACGCUUCAAGAGGACUGAAACAAAAACCGAACUGGGCCUGUCUUCGAAUGGGCUAGAAAUUCAUGGGCUUGCUGGACUUCAACUUGCUGGGCUGUUGGAUUUGCGUUGGAGGAGUUGGGCCGAUCCACGAGCAAGAGAAGACUGAAGCCGUUGGAUCCAUGGGCUUCGGUCUUCACGUGGGCUGAAGGAAGGAAGCAGCGAGGGAUGCUGGAAUUCCCUAAGGCCAAAGGAACACGUGAGCUGCAGCUGGCGUGCGCUGGGUCUUCGAACUAGCGGUGAGGAGACGCGGUAGGUGGAGUCUUCAAGCAGCUGCCGGUGUGUUCUUCCAAGAACGAAAGAAAUAGGCGCUGGCCUCGUGGAUGAAGGUUGCUCGGUCAACAAAGGGCUUCACUCGGUGGGGGAAAUUGACCGAAUGAAACACAGCUUGGUGGAGGAGUAGGCAAAGAGAGAGAAACUCGGUGGAAGAGCUGCUGCAGGGGAAGACUUCGGUAGAACUCUGGGCUUCGUUGGCAGGCUUGGACACGCGGCAAAGGGAUCAACAAUCUUGUUGAGAUUGACUAAAAUCUCGGUGGGUUGGUCUUCAGUGCAGCUUGCAGGGAGAGAUCGACGGGGGAAAUGGAAGCAGGCUGGGUUGUUGCUGCAUGGAGUUGGCGUGAGGCUUCGAUGGAUGCUUCUUGAACGAUGGAGGCUGAAGACACGGAGAUGGGCUGAGCUUCGGAGGGAUUUCCAGGGAAAUGAAAAGCAAAGUGAAAGCACGCGCAAGAGGAGUCGGUGAAUGGCGUGCCGGAGGAGAUUUGGAGAUAAAAGGGACAAAAAGUCAAUAAGGUUAUCUAUCCAAUUUAAUGCUUGUCCCCCAAAAGCACCCAUGUUUUAUCCCUUGGUCCUUUACUUCUUUUUAGACAAAUAAAUCCACCAAAUAAUCCCAUUUUGAGCCAAGAAUAUUCAGCUCUCCCACAGCUCCGAAUUUUACAUUUUUGGUCUUCAAUUUCUUCGACAAAAUUCCAAUCCGACGUCCCAUUUCAAUGAAGAAAAAGCCCGUAGAAUUUCUACAAGUGCCCCCGUCAAAUAGCUCGGCUUGCAAGUCUAAAUUUCCUUCGACUUAGCCCAUCCAAAUUUCCGCAACGUCUGAAUCGAUUUUCCGUAAAAAUCUUGGAAUCUCUUAAAAAUCUUCUGAGACUGAGUCGACGUUCCUAGAAUUUAUUGUGACAUGAGAGAAUCUCCAAUUUCUGAAAUCGGACUCAAAUUGGCAGUUAAUUUCACUUCGACGCGUUUUUAGCGUGACCUAGGCUACCGAGUAGUUUUCAGAUCUUUUUAGGGCAAAUGACCCAUGGUCGAUUUUCUUCGAGCCACAAUGAACCUACUCGACACAUUGGUGGCUCUCAGUUGUCGUGAAAGUCUCAAGGGUUCAAAUACAGACACAGGGUACCAAAACAAUAAGAAAAUCAGUCUAGUGUCGGCAGACGAGAAUUUUUCCAAUUUAGUGGUGUCACCCACGAUUAGCCACAUAUCUCAAUCGAACCAACCUAUCUCCGAUCUCGAAUCGAUUUAUAUCUAUGCCAUAAUGGCCUCUAAAGAUAAACACGGUCGAGAAAUCGAUUCCUGAUCAAAUUCUCAAGUCUAUUUGCCUUAAAAUUUUUAAUGGCUUUCCCUGAUAGUCUAGUUAUCUCAAGAGUGAUCACCUCUGAGAACAACCCUAUAGACGCGUCAAUGAAAUGCCUGAUUUAUUUAGUAGAAAACAGGACUGAAACUCUGGGAUGUCACAAUAGCCAUACUCGUCGCCACCGUAUCUGAUAAAGACGCACUUCUAAGACUUAACAUCAAGCUUUUUCCUAUCCUCCCUGUCAAUUAAAGCAUAUGCAGUACAACCAAACACCUUUAGAUGUGAAUAAUUAAUCUUUUUACCUUACCACUGUUCUUGUGGUAUUUCUCCAUCCAACGCAUUAGAUGGACUUCUGUUGAUAAGAUAAACAACCGCAUCAACUAUGGUAACCCAUAAGUGUAGCGGGAGACCCGCAUGUAGCCUCAUGCAUCUCACACGUUCUAGAAUAGUCAUGUUCAUCCUUUCAGUUACACCAUUCUCUUGAGGAGUUCUAGGAACAAUUUUUAACCUGUGUAUGCCUUCUCGACUCAACUAUACUACAAAUUCCUUAUUCUUGUAUUCACCACCAUUAUCAGACUUCAGAGUUUUAAUCUGAUAACCUAUCUCUUUUUCUACCAUGGUCUUCCACAUUCUGAACAUCCCGAAUACUUCUGAUUUUUCUCUAAGAGUAUAGACCCAAGUCUUCCGUAUUGCAUCAUCAAUGAAGGUGAAAAAAUAUUUAUUACCGCCAUAAGAGAGUUCCUGAGCAGGUCCCCAUACAUCAGUAUGAACCAACUCUAGCUUCUAGCCUUUAUUUUGUCGUCAAUUCAAUUGAAAACUAACAACCUUAUGUUUUCCAUAAAUGCAACUCUUACAAAAAUCUAACUUAAAUUUUGUAAACCUGGAAGUAAUGUCCUCGAUUGUAACUGUUUUACACAUUUUUCAUCAAGAUGUCCCAAACGAUAAUGCUAAUGAGUAGACAAAUUACUUGUAGCCAUUGUAGUUGCAACCAUAUCACUGAUAUUGUCUCCUUGGAGAAUGUAAAGUGUACCUAUACUGUCACGCCCCGAUCCUCGAGCACGCACACAUCCUUCUACUUGGUUGAUUUUAGAAUGCGAUAUCCCAGGACUAUAUAUCGCUGACCCUUUCAUUUAUUAAGCACAUGCGAAGCAGUUAUAAAUCCCCGGACAAUAAAAUAAUUGGAUAGAAAAGUAGGCCAUAUUUUUUUUCAUAUUGAAAUCCACAGCCAAACCUUUAUACAUGGCAUAACUCAAAGUCUAUUCACAAGAUUGAUCACAUAAAGAUAGGGUUCAUAAAAGAGAUGACAUCUCAAUCCUCAUCUGGAUCAUACUCAAGAUCAUCCCGAUCCUCUUCCGACUCCCCUGAUUCGCUCUCCUCUUCCUUAGGCUCCUCAUCUUCUCCUUCAGGCUCCUCCUUAGCUUCAGGUGCCGGUUCAUCUUCAAGUACCUCUUCUGCUGCACCCCAGUCUUCAUUCUCCUCUGGUCCUUCCACCUCCUGCUCUUCAAUCUCACCACCCUCGUCGUUCCAGUUGUCGUCAUCAACUAAGUACACAGGAGUAUGGGCUUUAGCCACAAGUGCCGGGUCCUGAACAUUAACAACCGACGCAUCCGCGUGAUCUGCUGUACCCUCCCCAAAAGCUUCUUCUAGAACAUACACAGGCACGUCGUUCUCAGGAAUGGGCCCCUCUCUUCGCCCGUCAAAGUACUCACGGUACCAUGACCUAUAAUGAUGGGGCCUCAGGGCGGCUUCUCCUACGUCAACCCAGACGAUUGACUUAACCAGGACAUACUCUAGUCCUUCUGGGUGAGGGUGAAUAUGGUAGUGGAUUUCUAACUCAGUAACCUCUUGGGGAAUACCAAAAUGCAUGGCGGGACAACGAGGUGGAGGAGGUGGAGGUGCUACCAUCUACGGGCCUAAAAUGUUGUCCCACAACCGGGAUAAGACUACGUCUCAGCAAGUUCUACCCCACUAAGACUCGAUUAGGAAACCAAUACGCUAAUCAGGCUACCUAUACACGUACGGGUCGGAGGACUUACCUUGGCCUCAGAUUUCACAUGUAUAUUAGCACAAUUAAAUAGGCACCCAAGCAAUCACAUCACAGAUCGAUAUCUCGAUCAAUCGACCUAGUCGAUUUCAUGUCAAUUGUACCAUUUAUCAGUCAAUUCAGUUCAAUCAAUUAAUUCAUGACAAACGGAUCAAAUCAUAUUGGUGAUUCCAUCUAUACUCGAUAAUUGUUCUCAACAUUCCAAGUCGACAUUCCCACUCAAAAAUAGGUUCAAGGCUCUAGAGGUGAUCCAACACGAAGUAUUGUUAUUGUGCGGUACUUAGUCCUUAACCACAAAUAACAAUAGUAUAAGGCGUUAGAGGUAAUUCACACAAAGUCUCGCCAUCGUGUAGUACUUAGUCCUUCACUACAAAAAGUAAUAGCAUAAGACGCUAGAGGUAACUCACAUGAAACUUACUAUCGUGUAGCACUUACCCCUUCACUAUGCAUGACAAUACUGCAAGGCCCUAGAGGUAGUUCCCAUGCGACUCAGGUCGCCAUGUAACACUUAGCCCUUGACUUCAACAAGCAAUGAUAUAAGGCGCUAGAGGUGACUCACACGAAGUCUUCUACUCGUGUAGUACUUAGUCCUUUACCUGCUCAUGACCCAUUGGUUUCCCUCAACACAACACACACAUCACAUCAACUUCCAAUAAUCAUCUUACUUCAACUAUAAACCAACACGUGAUUAAUCCCUCACGGCCCAAUGACAAUGUGCCUCACACUUAAAUUCCUCAAUUAAAGUAAUUUCUUGGCUUAAUUUCUUCGUAUUAAAAAUACUCGAUAAAAUAUCGUGUGUGGGCACAUGGCUGGCCUUCGCCAAAAUAUAAUAUUUUCCUUUCCAUAACUCUCACUUUUUCUGUAGUCCAUUCAAAUAUUUUUGGCAUUAUCAACCGAUGCCCAAUUAUUUUUCAAGUAAUAACCAAAGAUUAUUCAACUAAAGAAUAAUUCUCAAUUUCACAAAUAAUUCAAUUCGGCACAAAAUAAAGCUCAAUUAAAUAAACGGACUAUGCCACGAUAAUUAGUAUAAAAUUCCAGUCGUUGGUUAUCCCUACCUAAUUUUCAAAAAAUAAAUAAAUAAUUAAAUUAAUUUAAAAAAAUUAAUAAAUAAAUACGAUAAAUCCAAUUUAUGCUCGUAAUGCCUAAUUGGAAGCCAAAUCGAAUCGGGAAAAAUCCCGAGAUGCAUUCAAUAAAUAGUAGACUAUAUCUACUUACUAAUUGCACAAUCAAAAUGUCUAAUAUGCAUCUCAAUUAUCUAAUAAUCACUAAUCUAUUCUAAUCUAACCACCUCAUUGCACUUAAUUAAAUCUAAUCAACCCUUUAAGCAUCAUUAGUCUACUAAGCAAGGAUUAGUGAGAUUACUCACCGGAAUUUAGCACAAAACAUAUCAAUCCGAUGGGGACGACACGAGAGUCGUUUCUUCCCAAAGCAAGUCCCAAGUUCGGGGCCCAAAAACGGCCCAAAACAACCCACGAACCUGCUGGAAACCCACUCGCUGGGUUGCUGUUCUGGGCUAUCCGAGGCUGGUCCGGUGGCUGAGGUGGCGAAACAAGGCUGGUGGAGGGCGAGGGAAGCUCCGGCAAGGCCGAACGGUGGCUGGAGGGGGUCGGGCAGUGCCCUAAGGUGGCCAAACGGGGCUAGACAGAGGCAGCAGGAGCUGGACAAUGACUGAACCAGCGUGAUGGGGAGAGACGGCAGCUCAGUGGUGGUGGCGGACGGCGAAAUGGUGGCGUGCGGUGGAGCAGACGACGGUCCGGCGUGGUUACGGCUCCUUCAGGAGACGUUGGUCGCUGCUUCUGCUUCUGUUGGUCUUUGCACGAAAUAGAGGGGGAGAAGGAGAGCGUCAAUGGUGGCUAAAGGAGGGGUGAGGGAGAGGCGGAGGGCGAGCGGUGACCGGUGGAGCGCACGGGCGACGUGCGAGUGGCGGAGUGUGGGCAGCGACGGUGAGCUGCUCCGAUUUUCUUCCCUCGAUGCCGAUGUUCUGCUUCUGCUUCUGUCUUCAUUCGAACAAGAGGGGGAGAGAGAGUGUCAAGUGAGAGAGAAAAAGAGAGAUAAGAGUGUUUGACUAGUCAAAAGUAAAAUGGAGAGAGAGAAGCAAAGUGGAAACCGGUAAGGAGGGGAGUCAGUGGAGGGGAAUUCGCACGAGAGAGAGAGAGAGAGAGAGAGAGAGAAAGGGGAAAGGGGGUGAAUCAUUCGAAAGGGGGGGGGGGGAAGAUCACGUGGGGAAAGAGGAGAGAGAAAAGAGGGAGAGAGAAAAGAAAUAGAAAAUAAUAAAAUAAUAAGAUAAUCACAUUAUUCUUAUAACUAUUAUUAUUUUCCCUUUUUCUUUCCCUUUUUAUUUUCUUCCGGUCUUCGAUUUUUCCUCCGAUAAUUUCUUUCCCGAAAUUUCGGGCUCGUCAAUAAUUUGACAAACGAUGAGACGAGGUCCUAAAAAUGAAUUAUGACACGCUCGAAUAUUCGAUUCCCGAAAUCGAAUUCAAUUUCGUGGUUAGAAUCGAUUAAACGCAAUUUUCGUCCAAUCCAACCAAUUAAGUAGCUUUUAGGGAUUUUACCGCGGAUACAUCCCUUAACGGCUUCACCCAAUAGGUUAGUUAACUUGUGAGUGAUCAGCUCAGAAAAAAAGGACUAUAGGCACGUCGACGAAAUGCCCAUUUCACUUUAUCGAAACGGGGUCGAAUUUCAAGAUGUCACAUGUAUGCUUUCCCUUUGCUACUACUCAUACCCCUGAAGUUAUCUUCCACUCUCCGCAUCCAAAGGUUGUUACCAAACCUUCUUAGUCAAGUUUACUGGUUAAAAUCAGAUUUUUCUUUAAUUCCGGAAUAUGCCUAGUUUCACGCAAAACUAGACGUCCUCCACCUGAGAUGUUCACAGUCACAUUUCCUUUCCCAACAAUGGGACACAUGUGGCCGUUUCCUACAACCACUUGUCUGAAAUCUCCACUAGCAUAAUCAUUAAAUGCAUCUCUUUGCGAGGUGUAAUAAAAAGAAGCACCAUAAUCAAUAAACUAUUUAUCUGUUGUCAAGUCAAACCCUGCAGACAAACACAAGUUAUCUAACAAAGAUUCAUCGCUAAUCACAUUAGCUCCUUGAUUCUCAUGUUGCUGCUUCUUUUUGUAGGCUUCACUCUAAAACCUUCAGCGUCCGAUUUUGUGACAAAACUAACAUUCAUCUUUUGCAACCUGUCUCUUACCCCUUGAUUGUAAUCUGCCACGCCCGCUGAAUUUUCCUCUACUUUUACUUUUUCCACGGUUCUCUACUGCUAGUGCCAUUGAAGAUGUAGAUGUCGAAAAAUUAUCUCCACCUAAGACUUUCCUCCGCAUCUCAUCAUCCAUGAUACUACUCACAGCAUCAUCAAGAGUUAAAUCAUCCGUCAUGGUGCUCGAAAUUCCCUACACUGCGGUAUUAUAGCUUUCUAGAAGAGAACAUAAAAAUAAUAAAACUUGAAGCUUCAUAUCUAAAUUUAUGCCUACGGAUUCCAAUUGACCCAUGACCUGUGUGAAACUAUUAAUAUGCUCUACCACAAAACCUCUAUCAGAUAACUUCAUAUUAACCAGUUUCCUCAGCAAAAAUACCUGAUUUGAUGUUGACGGCUUUUCAUAAAUAUUCGUUUAAAUAUCCAUAGCUUAUUUUACAGUUUUUGCUUUCGUGAUGUGAUACCUUGUCUUUUUUGUCAACCCUAGAUAAGUUGCACCUAAUGCCUUUCGAUCAAGAAUUUUCCAUCCGACUUCUGUUGUUGGAUCCACUUCCGCCAUCUCGGGUUUCCAACCCUCAAGUGGUGAAUAGAGAUCUUUUUUAUAAAGAUAAUCCUCAAUUUGUAGUUUCCACCAUCCGAAAUCUUGCCCAUCGAACUUAUCGAUUUUGAUUUUAUCUUCUGCCAUACUAUUUGCUUUCAAUCGAACGUCACCGAAAAACCCUCAAUGUUCUCGAUCAACCAACCCAGGCUCUGAUACCAGUUAUUACAAAAUCGCACGUUGAUUCUAGAAAAAUAACGCUCGCAAACAAUUCACCAAGCAAAAUAUAAUAAUAAAGGAAUAGAAUCAGAAGAACACGCCAGAAGAUAAUUUUUAUAAUAAAAAAACAAAAACUGUAAGCGUCGAGACUCCAUUUUUAUUUCCUUUUUGGCUCCAUUAACACCCGAAAACAUUCUGUUAAAAAAAAAAAAACUCCCGAAAACAUGAGAGUACCACCAAAUAAGAAGUCCAUUUUAUGAUAUGAAAUAGAGAAAAAGGAUAUCAAUAAAUUUACAAUUACCAUUUUCGAAACUACAUCUCUGCUUUUCUUGCUUUCCUUUCGCUUAGUCUGUCGAGCCUUAGUCUUGUUGCUUCUUUACUCUAUCAAUAUGACCGAUUUAUUGGCGACUCCAUUUUGAUGUGGGACGCCCUUUAUGUUGAGUGAUAAGUUGAAAUGCAGAAUAUCGACCUAAUUUUUCAGGAACGUUUUUCAGGAUAUGCCGUAAGCACCAUGGAUGCUUAGGACCAGGGAACCGAUGCUCAACUGCAUUUUGCAUUGCCUUGUCCUAGUCUGUGAUAGCAGCGAAUGGUGCCCGUCCUCCCAUCCGAAAGAGACAAUGAUUUGAACAACCAAACGAAUGUGUUAGUAUCCUCAUUCACACUCAUGAAAGGGGCGAAAGGCAUUUCAUAUUGAUUGGUCAAAUAUAUAGUAUCAAAGGUUACUACUUCAUCAAAACUUUCAUAUAAUGCCCAAGUUCUUGCACUUGCCAAGGAAACAUUCUUUAACCUGGGACUAUCAUCCAGCUCCAUCACAUAGAAAAAAGGUCAUUUCUAUUUUGCAUCCUAACAAACAGUUAUGAUUGGCUUCGCCAUCUUCAGUUCCAAGUCUUAACUUUCUUUGCCUUCUCACCGAAGGUAAGAUUUUCAUUCCCUCCUGCCUCAACAACAGACAAGUUAAAGUUUGUUGAUCCUUAUACUAGCUGUAGAUACAUAGACUUUAUCCACGAAGAGAACAUGCAAGAGUUAAGUAUUUUACCUUAUCAUCAUCUGCAUUUUUCUAGCUCCUCCUAGACACACCCAAUCCCACUUGUUUAUGCAUCUUUUAUCGUUCUCUAAUAGAUUCUCCACAGAAUAAAAUAACUCUCAUUCCCUCGGUUUUAAUCACAUUUUCUUCGUCGAUUUGAUUUUAUUUUGUUUCAUCACCAGUAGCUUCUGUUUCACAUUCUUCUUUAUCAAAUAGUGUGUCAUCAUUCUACACUUGUAAUGUUGACAUGAAAUCUUCUCAUGUUUGGUAAAAUUAUAGAAAGCAAAAAAUUCAGUAUGACAAUUAAUUAGAAAUAUAGAUAGACAGAAAAUUAUAAUCCGCGAUUUUUCCAAAUAAGAUAUGAUGCAAUAGUAGUUUAUUCGUACAAUCCUAAACUGACUCUGUAGCUAAUCUAUUAUAACAACUUGUGCAUUCUGAAAAUAGAAGCAUAUGGCGCACGAACUAUAUGCAGAUCAAAGUCCUUUAACUACGUCUUCUAUUUAAUCAAAAUAUUUGGUGGAUGGAGGAGACAAAAGAGGUACGACCCAUCUCAGGCAAGCACAAAUUAUAGACAUAGAGAAACAAUAGUCAAAACGCAUAAGAUACAACACAAAAUGACAAAACCUAAUACAUAUUCAAUCAAAAGCAUGCUCCUGAAUCUUAAAAACCAGAAAAUUGUGUUCCAAAAAAUUCAAGAGUUCAAGACUUUUUAUAUAUUAAAGCAAUCCAUGACGUCCAUGUGUAGUAGAUAAUUGGAUUGAUAUUUUCUAUUUCGUUGGAGAGUACAAGACGUUUCAAAUCAGAUAAUUGGAUAAUUUUCACCAUUAGAUAGAUAGAUAGAUGCUCUGCAAAAAGUAGAUUUACAGAAAUUUAUAAAUGAAUUCCUCUGAAAUGUAAUUUUUUAUUUAGCUGAUGCUAUUUACGAAUUUCUUCCAUAUUUGUUAUGGCAUUGAAAUUUAUAUUUAAAUUAGUCUUUUCUAUUCAACAAGUUUUUGACCUCUUGACAUCAAAUUUUCCGAAGCAUGGCCAACGUAUGUCCCUCAUAUGACUCUUAAAGAUCCAAUUAUAACAUGAACAUACAAUUAUCUCAUGUUCAAGUAUAUUUGGACCAAUGAAUCAUGAAAAAAAAAAAAAAAAGUCAACUUGUUCAAAAUAUUUGAACUAAAACUAAGGAUUACGCCACGUAAAAUAAACUUUUGCGACCUCCUUGGACCCUCCCGCAGCUGUGGAGGCUAAUGACCUACUAAGUCUAGAUUUAAUUUGGGCUCUCUCAAGCUCAUCAAUUCGCGAUUUAUGGUCUAAGUUUUUAACAUGCAAAUCAUUUUUAUUUAUUAGUCGCUACUAAUAAGUUUGUGGUGGAUCAAUUAGAAACCAAAUAAAAUAUUAAGAGAAAUAUUUUACUUUUGCGCAACAAAAAAAAAAAAAUAGGAUUUGGGACUUGAUUGUAUUAGUUAGUUAAUUAAUACUCUUUCAAAACCUAACCUUAUUUAAACCUUAGGUUUGAAUUUUUUUUUUUUUUUUGUGAAGGAUAUUUCUUGCAUUUUAAAGAGAAUAACCUUUUUUUAAAAUUUUCCUAAUUUGAGAAUUUUUUCCGAAAUUCUUUUGAAAUUUUUUCUUUUUUAGAUAUUUUUUUAAAAUAUAUAUGUUUUCAUAGUUUGUUAUUCCGAAAUUGGGACUCGGGCUUGGCCUUUGAGCCCAGUCCGAAUGUGGGCUGCCGCUGGUCUUCAGGUUGGGAGGCCUCACCCAUUAAGAGGCUUUUAAAAAACGAACUGGGCUCAAUCUUAUAGAAUUAAGCCCAACUCCAACAAACCGAGCUCGACCCAAAGCUAAUAUAAUGAGCCCAAGCCAGUUAGACGUGCGACCCGAGACCGACCCCGACCCAACCCAUGCCGACCCGACUAGUUGCCCCUCGCGUUUCCCUGCUCCCACGCAACGCCGACGAGGAUGGCAAUGGCGACGCCGCUCGUCUCGGCUUGGCGGCACGCUUACUCCGCCGUCGCCUCGGCCAGACGAAGCUGAGGGCUCGGCUUCCGCCUGGGUCCCCGUUUCCCGGCCGGACCCGACACCGCCGGCCGAGGGGCUCCUCCCUCUCGGACAUGCGCGAAAACGGUAGAGUGGGCGGCGGGGACGCGUCGAAACGGCCAAACGGCCGACGCCCACAAGCGCCAAACGUCGUCGAGGCGUCUCGACCGGCCGAGAUGGUGUCCGAACAACUCGAUACCGUCCAAAAUAAACAGGCAAGAACUAGGUCUAUCUCGGGCAUUCCGUAGAACGAGCACGCUGCUGAAACAUCGGGUUUUGGCUCCAUCGGGACUCAAACCAAAGGCUGAAGCUUUCGCCGAGCAAACAACAACACCACAGCAGCCAAAAGAGGGAGAGAUGGGGCCGGUCUUCGCAUGAGCCGGGCGGCCGCGAGCUCCGGCCCGACGUACCCAAAACAGGGCAAAAACUGGGCUGGCUUACUGGAGCUGGUUUGAGGACGUCGGCGAGGAUCGGCGGGCGGCGUAGGGCGCGGUGGCUACCGGCGAAACUCCCCACUCUCGCCCUCAUUCUUCGCUUUCUCGAUCUCGAUCUCCCUCUCUCUCGGAUCCCUCUCUCUCAUCCCCGCGGAUCUCACCUUUGGGCCCCUCCUCUUAUAGGGCCCAGACGUCUCGUGAGGGAAGGAAGAAGAGAAGGAGAGAAGGGAGAGAAAAGGGCCGGGCGGAGGAAAGAAAUGGGGCUGGGGUCAGGCCCCGCCCCCGAGUCCCUUUACGUCUUUCUAAUUUUUUAAAAUAAUGAUUUGAAAAUUUUUGAAUUUUUAAAUUUUUAUCUGAAAUGUAGUAAAAUAAAGGGAAAAUAAAUAGAUAAAUAAACUUUAGUUGAUGCAAAUAGUAUUAAUAACUGUGUGACGUAAAAAUCUUUUCUUGUCAUGGCCAAAUCGAUUUCUAAUUUUCUAUACAAUUUAAUCAUAAAUAUUUAACCAAAAUUUAGGUGUCUAAAAAAACUUGUUCAAUUUUUCAGCUAUUUAAUCAGCAUCAAUAGAAAAAAAAGGAUUGUUAAUGCAAGUAGCCUUUAUCCCUUCAUGUUCUGAAGAUCCAUUUUUAGGAAGGAGUUAAAAAAAAAAUUCCCAUGUAAAAGCGAGCUUAAAAUGAUUUAAAAAAUUCAGUUUAUUGUGGUUUAUGAACACAUUUUUCUAGGAAACAUUUUAAAAAUUCUUUAGAAUAUUCAUGAAAUGACCGAGUGACAUAUGAUUAAGUGUAUUGAUGCUUGUUAUAAAAAAUAAUUUUUGAUGAUGCAUAAUUUCCUCAAAGAAGGCCAGAAAUUUCUGUGGUCUCUAAUUCCUAAGCAGAAGAACACUCCGAACCUUCUGUUAGUUUUUCGUCUUUGUCUACCAGUGAGAUGGAAACGUACUUGGGGAUAAAUUACUCCAUAUACAUUAAUAAAGUUGGCAAAGACAAUGUCCAUACUUUGAAAUGGUGGAAGAGGGAAGCGACUAGUUUUUUGAUUUCUAAUCGCACCAGCAUUUAUGAGCCCAUGUUUAAAACUAGCUAACAGAUCUUGGAAGACAAAAGGUGGAGGUGGAAAAUUUAGAAAUUUUUUUGGCUGGACACGAUUGGUUUGUGCAAUAACUGACUCUAGAGGAAUGUACCCAAUAUGAACUGGAGGACAACAAUGAGAUUGUAUCAUCUGAAUUAAGGUGGAGGACAAGACAUGAAGAUACCUAAUUUAUUAGAUAUUCUCUUUGGUGUAAUUUGUGUGUAGUUGUUAUAAGGGCACCAUUACAUGUAAUUUUCUUUUUUAAAUUACUUGAAGAUGUACUUGUAUUUCAAUUUGGUUUAAUUAAAUGAGUGCUUUUUUUUAUUAUAAAAUUUUCUAAAUUAAUUUUUUAAUUUGAAAAAAAUACUUUGGUUUUUUUGAAUUUUUCAUUCAAAGAAAUAAAAUUAAUUUAGAAAAAGAAAUGGGUCCAGACCAACCGAGCCGAGAACAGCCCUUCGGCCCCUCCUAGCCGGCACCGCAGAAGGACUAGCACUUUGUUCCACCAGGCCUUUGGCCGUAAGGUUUUUGCAGUUGACUUUGUUCAUGCUCCUUAGGACUCGUGGGGUAGGCAACUUUGUUGGGGAUAACUGCAGUAAUGAAUAUCACACAUGGGCGGCAUGGCAGCUAAAAUUUCAUCAAGAUCAAAAAUUUCAAGUGGCUUAAUUGCCUUGGCAAUCCAAGUGAUUCUUCGUUCUCUACCACUAGUGCACAUGCAACACGUCUCCUCGUAUGCUUUUGUUAAUCCAGACAAGGAUGUUAACACAACUUCUUCCUUAUCAAUUAUUAAUGGUGCAACUGUAAUCUAUACACCAUCCUUCUCGAAGGAGUAAGUGUAUCCAUGUCCAUCAUGAAUAGUUCAAUGUUAAUAUUGCCACAAUAGUCUAAGUAGGGCACACAUCCAUUGAAAUCACAUUAUACCAUAGUUUGCUGCGAUAUUUAUUUGCAAUAGUAAAUUGAAUUAAUGAAGUUGAAGACCUUUCAUUCAUUCUCCUCCCUUAACUAUUGUGAUCUGUCAGGGUGGGGAUGAUCUUUCAUUGGCAACUUCAACUUCUCGACCAUUAUAGCCGCUACAACAUUCUUUCAACCUCCUCCAUCCAUAAUACAAUCACAAGUCUUGCCAUGUGAUGUGCACUUUGCAUGGAAAACAUUGUGGUGCCCUGAGUUGGUCACCUCUCUCUUACUUGUCUUUCUCUUUCAAGCCAGCAUAGAUCGCCUCCUUCACUGACAUAGUCAUACACGCAUCUAUCUCUAUCUCUCCCCUUGCAAGCGCAUACGAAUCACAAAUUAUAAUAAAAUUUCACAAACUUAUUAAUAGAAAAAUAAUCCGUGAUUUGCAGGAAAAAAAGUCAUUAAGUUUAAUUUUCGGAUUUUACACCAAAAUCCACACAAUUUCACUGAUAAGAGCAAACUGUUGAACAUGAAUUUAGUGGGUUAACAUUUAGGAUCCUUAUCAUCUCACCGAAUAUCUAGAAUUGAUGGAAGAGAGAGUGAUGAUCAAGCUCCUUGUGAUAUUGGACGACUACGUUUGAUUCGGCUUUUCCAAGUAGCUUUGGAGAAAGCAAUUUAGCCUAAAGGGUUUUGAAAAAAUGCAAAAACUAUUUAAUAAACUCUGCUUUAAGAAGCAAUUUUGAGACAAUUGUUGCUUGGUAAAAAAACACAUUUGAAAAGCCCAUUUGAAUGAUUAAUUUAAAAUUUAAAAUUUUUAUUUAUUUAAAAGUGAAAACAUUAAUGUUCUCAACUUUUUUAAUUUAAUUUGACGACAAUGUUGAAGAUAUAAUGUAAACAAUUUUUUUAGAAAAAUAAAAUUUGUUUGUUUUGGCUAAAAAAAAUUCAAAUGGAAAAAUUUACAUCAAAAUGGUCUAUUUCUCAAUUAAAAAAAGAAUACUUUCAUUGCAAUAAACAUAUUAAAAUAUGUCCCAAGAAAAGAAAUUUAUUAUCCUUAAAAAUUAGAAAUAUACUUAAAUAUUUCAUAAACUCAUAGCUAUUUAAUCAUAUAAAUGUGCCAUGUCAAAAGUUGCAUCAUUAUUUGGAGCAUUACCCUCCUCAUUUACAUGGGAGAAUUACAAAAAAAAUCCUAAACCUAUUGCAAUUGUGCCAAUUCAGUCUUAAUUUUUUUUUUUGUCAUUUUAGUCCUAAACAUUUUAUAAUUGCACCAAUUUAGUCUAUCCGGCCAAAAUUGGCUGGUCGGUGCUAACGUGGAUGCCGGCCGUCCGGCGAAAGCUAACAUGGUAAUAUUUUAAUAGUUUUUUUUUGAAUUUUUAUAUAUUUUUUGAAUUUUUGAAUUCUUUUUUUCUAUCUUCUCCUUCCUUUGGCCAGCGAGGUCGGCCUUGCCAUCGCUGGACGAGGCCCUGCCAGAUCUAGCGAGGCUUGGCCUCGCCUAGCCAUGGCGAGGGCCGAGCUCGUUGGCACCGGCGAGGCUUGACCUCGCUAGAUCAAACGGCCCAACAGAGCCCUUGCGAUGAUUCAACGGGCUGUCAAACCCUCAUAANNNNNNNNNNNNNNNNNNNNNNNNNNNNNNNNNNNNNNNNNNNNNNNNNNNNNNNNNNNNNNNNNNNNNNNNNNNNNNNNNNNNNNNNNNNNNNNNNNNNNNNNNNNNNNNNNNNNNNNNNNNNNNNNNNNNNNNNNNNNNNNNNNNNNNNNNNNNNNNNNNNNNNNNNNNNNNNNNNNNNNNNNNNNNNNNNNNNNNNNNNNNNNNNNNNNNNNNNNNNNNNNNNNNNNNNNNNNNNNNNNNNNNNNNNNNNNNNNNNNNNNNNNNNNNNNNNNNNNNNNNNNNNNNNNNNNNNNNNNNNNNNNNNNNNNNNNNNNNNNNNNNNNNNNNNNNNNNNNNNNNNNNNNNNNNNNNNNNNNNNNNNNNNNNNNNNNNNNNNNNNNNNNNNNNNNNNNNNNNNAACUAGCCAAUUUUGGCUGGAUGGACUAAAUUACACCAAUUGUAAAAAGAUUAGGACUAAAUGGCCCAAAAAAAAAGUUUAGACUGAAUGUGCAUUACAUAGAUUUAUGACUUUUUUGGUAAUUCUCCCCAUUUACAUCAUCAACAAUUGUGCACCUUACUUUGGCAAGUGAAUUCCAAUUCGUAUGAAAUUCUAAUGGAAUAAUAGGAAUUACGAGAAUUUGUAUCUGUCAAUUUUCAUUGAGUAGGCACAUAACCAAACUUUCCCAAUUUUUUGUUUGUAUCCAAGUUCAUGGCACCACUUUGCCACAAGAAACAAUCUAUGUAGCUGAAGCAAAAUUAAAAUGAAUUUGCAGAUGUCUCUCAAGUCAUCAUCUCAAACGAUCCUUACCCAACCGAAAUAAUGAACAUGAACCAAAAUAAGCUUUCAUUAUGUGUUAUCACAAGAAGAGCAAAAAUGCACACUUGUUUUCAGUGACUUCUCAACAUAUUACAACCAUUACCUAUGGACAACAACAAAUGAUAAAUUUAUCCUUGUAGCUGCCCUAAAAGAAAGGCAAACAUUUGCUUGCUGCUUCUUGUUAGCCUCAUAUCAUGGACAAACAAAAAACCAUUCACGUUGAUGAAAGCGAAGUAGCUUGUGCAUCAAAUUCAAGAGCAUCUGUACCAUGUGCUGCAAAGAGAUCAACUUGAACCUCAAGCUCAUGAACAUAUUGUGCGGAACAUGUCCAAAUGACAAUAGUUUAUCAUUGCUGGCAAUCAACUAGAGACUUCGCUGGAGUUCCUCUUGCUCGAGUCUUGUAAAUCAUCAUAGUUAGGCUGCUCACAAAGGCACAUCAAAGGAUUUGUGCAGAAGUAAUCCUCCUCCUUGGGCGUAUCAACAAUAACUCUAUAACUCUAUGAUGACUUGGCUGUGACAUCUUCUCAUGUGCCAGACGUACAGCAACUUCAAAAUUAUCAUGUGAAAGUGUCCCAUACUGAUGCAAAUCCAGUAAAGCCACAAGCCUUUUACGAUCUAAGAGAAUGGUUCUCUUAAAUCCAAGAUACCUACAAAAAAUGUCAUAGUUUGCACACAGCUUUUUGAAGGAAAAUAGGAUAUGCCUAAUUAAUUUGGCUUGUUCUUCCAAGGGAAAUAAUGGAAGAACAUCAAUCAAGUUAACACACAAAUAAGCAAUCUCAAAGGUCCUAAGAUAGGAUUGCAAUCAACAAUUAACCAAUCAGUUAACAUCCCCUUCUCACAUUCAAUUAGGACAGAUCCACUAUAAUCGACAAUUGACCAUAUGUGAUCUCUUAGUGUAUACUCAAAACAGGACAAACAAAAAUCAAUUCUUUGUUGCAACCUGUAAAAAGACAUACAAGAAUCAGGUUGGUGACAGGAAAAAAAACCCGUCAUGAGCAGCACUAGUGGUGCUUCAGAAGAUUUCCAUUUAGUGCAUGUGAUUUUUUCAGGCUUCAAUGAGAUUGAUAUUUAGCAGGUUUGACACCACUAGUUUGGCAUUUAACGCAUUGAUAUAAUAGUGUUCUAAUGAACUCGUAGGCUGUGAUUUUUUCAGGCUUCAAUGAGAUUGAUAUUCAACAGGUUUGACACCACUAGUUCGGCAUUUAACGCAUUGAUAUAAUAGUGUUCUAAUGAACUCGUAGGCUGUCAACAUGAAGCCAUAGCUGAAAUUCACCCACGAUUUCAAAUUCGAUCACCACACCAGCAUAAUAAUCAAACGUGCAGACAACACAAGUCACAGACUGCAUAAACAAAACCCCAAUUAAAAAAGCAAUCGAACAUUAAAUACAUAGAGCACGAGACACGAGCCAGCAAUCAACAGCCAAGCAUCUGGAAUUAACGAAACAAAUGACAACUGCGAAUUACCUGCGGCAUGUUGGAGUAGCAACAAUGGCGAGUUCGCUGGCAGAAAGUGCCUGGUCAGCCAUUGCUCCGUCAACUUGAACUAAUCGAAUUCUCUCUGGUUGCCUCUGUCAUCAACCUCUCCGACAAUCAUCACCACCUCGAUCACCGUGACAAGAACCAUCAGGCAAAGGAGAGACGAAGAAGAAGCCGUCGGAGAGAGACACUGAGAUAGAGAGUGAAGCGGGCGCAACAGAUUCGCAUAAUGCACGGGGUAGAUCUAGGGCGAGCAAAUUGAAAAGGGUGAGCAAAGCGGAGCGAACGAAGUGCAAGGUCGAGCAGAGAGCGAGCGGAGCGAAGAAGGCAGUGUUUGUAGAUCUAGGGUUUUAAUUCUUUCAAAAGGGAGCAAAUUUGAAUUUUAAGUUAGGUUUCGAGGGCAACAUAGGCAAUUCACUAAUUUUCAUUAAAUCAGCUCUUCAACCUUCCGAAAAUGCUAAAAUUCAAAGCAAAUUCCCACUUAUUUUGAGUUUUCAACAUUCUUAAAUGCUAGAUUUUCACUUGAAAACUCAUUGGAGAUGGUUGCUAAAUAUCUCAACAUUUCCUCUAAGAGAUUUUGGAGGCCGAAAGUCCGUUGAAAAAGCUAAACCAAAUACACCAAACAUAUAUUUUAGAUAAUUAGCUAUAAAUGGCUUAUUAUCUUUCAAAUGACAACUCUCAGUUCCUUUGUGACAUCCCGAUUUUUCCAAUUCUAUUUUCAAUAAAUUGAUACGAGCAUUUCGUUGGCACGCAUAUAGUUCUUUUCCUUGAGUCGGCCACUCAUGUGGAAACUAGUCUAUCGGGUGAAGCUAUUAAGAGUUUCUAAUGCAUCAGACUCGAGAAUUUGACGAGGAAGCGAUCUUUCGACCGAGUUAAUCUACAAGGGUCAUUACGGCACAAUUAAAAUCGAUUAGAGAUCGGAGAUAGGUCGACUCGAUAGAGGCAUGUAAUCAGGUGUGGGUGAUUCCACCAGAUCGCAAAAUUUGUGUCGAUCGGCACUGGACCGACUUUUCUAUCGAUUAGGUACCCUGUGUUCGUAUUUGAAACCUUGAGAUUACCCCGACAACCGAAAGUCGCCGAUGUUUCAAAGAUGUACAUUGUGGCUUGAGAUGAUCAACCACAGGUCAAAUGCAUGAAAAUUUCUAAAUGCUACCCGGUAGGUUGGGCCGCGCUAGUAUCGUGCCAAAGUGAAAUUAACCGUGGAAUUGAGAUCGAAUUCAGAAAUUGGAAGUCUGGGUGUGUCACAAAUUAUUUCAGGAUCAUUGAAUCAUCUUUGGAAGAUUUUUUCAUGCAAUCAGAGUUUUUCAGCAAUUAAAUCAGAGAAUGGCUAAUUUGGCUCGAGAAAUUAGUAGGCUCGUCAUUGGCCGUGCUUAUGGGACUUAAGUUGAUUCUAUGGACAAGUGAAGAUGUGAAUUGAAGUGUGGUGAUGUUGGAUUAAUUUUAUGAUCUUCAAUUUGAUUCAAUUGGAAGAGAAUCAAGUGGAAUUAAAGAAUUGGUUGUACAAAUUUUUAUGCCCCGGCGGAAAAUGAGAUUGCAACCAUUGGAAAAGGUUGUGGGGGAUUGGGUGAGUGGAGUGUGAUGUCACCCAUGAGGUCAUGUGGUGGGCCAAUUUGUUGGAUUAAAGAAAAGGGAAAAAGGAAAAGAAAUUGGCCUCCCUUCUUCUCUCUCCUCCCUCUCUUCUUCCUCUCCCGUGCGAUUCCUCCAUGGACGUUUUCCUUCUUCUUCCUUGGACGCCACCAGCAGCUCGCCGCCCGCCCGCCUGCACACCAUCGUCGCCGUCGCGGUCGCCGCUCGCUGCCGCCGCCCCGCGCGUCUCCGCCCGCUCACCGUCGCAGCCCCGCGAGCUGCUCCGCCCAGCCGCCUCCGUUUGCUGCUCGGGAUCUCAGAUCUGGUCGGACGGCGAGCAGAAACCAGCAGCUCCACCUAUCGCCGUUCGCCGCCGUCGCACGCCGUCCUCGCCCUGCGUCGCCUCACUGCCGUGCUGCCGUCCGUCUCCCUCUCGCUCGCUCGAAUGCCGUCCGCCCCGUCCAGUUGAGCUAUCGUCGCUACCCAGCCCUGUUCGGCCAGCCAAGGCCGCGAAUCAGCCGCCGUGAGCCGCCGUGCUCCCCUGCCGGAGCUUCGCCUUGCCUCCGCCGCCCUUGGCCGCCUCAACCGGCGCCGGAUCCGCCCAUUCUCGGCCUCAAACCGCCAUGGACAGUAGCUGCAGAAAAUGGGUAUGGCAGCCCCUUCUUGGCCCGUUUUGGCCGCCUUCCCGAGCCCGGAUGCUCGGCCCGCUUUGAGGAAAGUCGAUCCUCGCGUCGUCCCCGUCGUUUUGGUUCGCUCGGCUCGCUAAUCCGGUGAAUUUAGCUCACUAAACCUCGCUUAGAGGGUUAAUUAUGCUUUAGGUGUGCUUAGCUUAAGUUGAUUAAGCUUAGGUGGUUAAUUUAGUUGAUUUAAUUAUGAUUUAGAUUAAGAUGUUUGUUUAAUCUAAAGUAUGUUUAAUUAAAUGCUAAGAGAGUUUAUUUAAAGUUAAGUGGGUGUUUAUAUUAAUAUAAACAUUGAUGUGACAUAAAUGAAUUUACUUUUGAUUUAUUUAAAGGUCUCGAAAUUAUCUUAUAAUUUAAUAAUAUAUUUUAUUCGAAAUUAAUAAAAUAGUAUUAUUUAAUUAUUUUCGGAAUAAAUUAAAUUAUUUGUUAAAUUCCGAAAAUUUUGUCGAGACCUUAAAUUCUCAGAAUUUCGUGCCGGUCGUUGCUGUGUAGUCGGAUUUUGAAAUUGAUGAUUUGAUAUUAUAAAUUGAGUGUGGAUUUCGAAAACUAUGGAUAUUAUUAUUUAAUUAAUUUUCGGAAUAAAUUUAAUUAUCUAUUAAAUUCCGAAAAUUUUCAUUGGGACCUUAGGGCGCGUUUGGUUGUGUUUCUGUUUAAAAAUUGUUCCAGGGAACAGAAAUAGAAAAAAGUAUUUCUGUUCCGGAGAACAAUUUUUGAACAAAAAUACGCGUUUGGUAAACUUGUUCCGGGAAUAAAAAAUAAACAGAAACAUGUUUGGUAAAUUUGGAUAAUUUUUUUAUUUCUUUUAUUUUUUCUAAUUUUUUUUCUUUUUUUUCCUUUUUUCCUUUUUUCUUUUUCAUUUUUANNNNNNNNNNNNNNNNNNNNNNNNNNNNNNNNNNNNNNNNNNNNNNNNNNNNNNNNNNNNNNNNNNNNNNNNNNNNNNNNNNNNNNNNNNNNNNNNNNNNNNNNNNNNNNNNNNNNNNNNNNNNNNNNNNNNNNNNNNNNNNNNNNNNNNNNNNNNNNNNNNNNNNNNNNNNNNNNNNNNNNNNNNNNNNNNNNNNNNNNNNNNNNNNNNNNNNNNNNNNNNNNNNNNNNNNNNNNNNNNNNNNNNNNNNNNNNNNNNNNNNNNNNNNNNNNNNNNNNNNNNNNNNNNNNNNNNNNNNNNNNNNNNNNNNNNNNNNNNNNNNNNNNNNNNNNNNNNNNNNNNNNNNNNNNNNNNNNNNNNNNNNNNNNNNNNNNNNNNNNNNNNNNNNNNNNNNNNNNNNNNNNNNNNNNNNNNNNNNNNNNNNNNNNNNNNNNNNNNNNNNNNNNNNNNNNNNNNNNNNNNNNNNNNNNNNNNNNNNNNNNNNNNNNNNNNNNNNNNNNNNNNNNNNNNNNNNNNNNNNNNNNNNNNNNNNNNNNNNNNNNNNNNNNNNNNNNNNNNNNNNNNNNNNNNNNNNNNNNNNNNNNNNNNNNNNNNNNNNNNNNNNNNNNNNNNNNNNNNNNNNNNNNNNNNNNNNUUUUUGUCCUGGGAACAAAGAACCAAAAAAGGAACAGAAACGCACACAAACGCGUUUCUGUUCCUUUUUUGUUCCCAGGAACAAAAAAACAGAAAUUUCUGUUCCUGGGAACAGAAAUUUCUGUUCCUGGGAACAGAAAUAAGUGCCAACCAUGCAGGCCCUUAUUUGCUCAUAAUUUCGUGCCGAUCGUUGCUGUGCAUUUAGAAUUUGAGAUUGAUGAUUGGUUGUUAUGAAUUGAGUGUGAUUGUGAUUUAUAGGGAUUCUUUAUGAAAUCCUAAGUGUAGAAACUAAUGGGAGAUUGGCUGUGAAAUACCACCUAUUAGAGGUCGUGCCCAGAGAGGCCGUGAUAAACCACCUUGGAAAGGUCGUGCCCGAUGAGGCCGUGAAAAACCACCUACAAGAGGUCGUGCCCGAUGAGGCCGUGAAAUACCACCUAUUAGAGGUCGUGCCCAGAGAGGCCGUGAUAAACCACCUGUGAAAGGUCGUGCCCAGAGAGGCUGUGAUAAACCACCUGUGAAAGGUCGUGCCCAGAGAGGCCGUGAUAAACCACCUUGGAAAGGUCGUGCCCGAUGAGGCCGUGAAAAACCACCUACAAGAGGUCGUGCCCAGUGGGGCCGUGAAUUGCCACCUGUUAAAGGUCGCACCGAGUGGGGCCGUGAUGCCACUGAUUUAAAUUUGCCGAGUAGGGCCGUAGUUGAGAGCAAUGAUUGAUUUGCUAGAAUGACAUGUAAUCGGCCGAGUCGAUUGAUCGCUGAGACGAUCCAAGUGGUUGAAUGGUUUGAUAAUGUGAUUGUGCCAUGGUUGUUUGGUUAUCAUAAUUGUACGUGGUUGGAUUAUAUAAAUUGUGCUAACCUGCAGAUGAAGGCUGAGGCGAGGUAAGUCUUCUGUGUGAUGUGGCUAGGCCACCCGGGGCGUAUUUUCUUUCUAAUAGGGGUUUAGGGGGUUGAACUUGCUGAGACAUCGUCUCAUCCCGGUUGUGGGAUUAAAAUUUCAGGUCCCUGGUGGACAGAGUGGCCAGAUAGCUUUGAUUGGCCUUGAGGAGUUGCAGAUGUGAAGUCAUAAGGGUUGGAGAGUGUGUCCUGCUAGUUGGUUGUAGGAUAGUCCCCCUUUUGUCGAGCUGGUCUAUUUUGUAGAAAGUCCAGUGUUGUAUUUAAACCCUUUGUGUUUGUAAAUGAGUGUUUGGUAUUGUGAUUGAUUGCCUGCUUUUCUAUCCCAAGUUAAAUGUUGUCAGGGGAUUUGUUUCGCUUCCGCAUGCGUAAAGAAAUGAAUGGGUCGGCGACAUAUCCUGGGAUGUCGCAUUUUUGAUUGACCGCAGUGGGAUGUGCGCGCGCUCGGGGUUCGGGGCGUGACAUCCUUACCAUGUAAGAAAUCGCAAAAGUGACUUUGACAAAUUUCCAGUUGCAAACCAAUAAGGAUCACAAAAUUGAAAUAAACUUUUCUCGAGGUUUUGAAUCAUUACACCCUCGUACUCUUUCUAUGGACAAAACCCCUCUCUCUCAAUUUCCCGUGUCUUUGGCGACUUGUAGAGUAGGCCGAAUUUUCCUUUUAUGACCAUUGUAGACGAUGCCCCUUGAAUGAUUAUUUGAAAAAUAAUAGGCUGGCUUCUUCUUUUAUGACUUUUGUAGACGGUACCGAUGCUCCUCCCAAUAAAGGAUUAUUGGGAAAUAAAUAAGGGCGUGUUUGGUAAUGAUUCUAUUUCCGGGAGUAAAUUCUAAUCAUAAAUGAUUUUUUUUUUAUUCUGUUCCCGGGAACUGAUUCUAAGUAUUUUAAACCGUUUGGUAACUAUCCAAAAUUUUUUAUCUUGGAAUAAAAUUACGUUUGGUACAAUGCUCAUUAAUUCUGCUCCAAAUCAAUUUCUUUUAAUUUUUAAAUAAUUUUUUUACUUUUUUCCUUUUUUCUUUUUUUUUUCUUUUUUCCUUUUUUUUUUCUUUUCUUUUUCUCAUCUUCUUCUUCUUAUUGUGGCCGGUCACCGGCAACCUCACCGGAGCGUCGCCGGCCUUUGGCGAGGCCAGCCUUCGUCAGCCGAGCCUCACUAGUAGCUGGGUGAGGCCUGCCUAGCCACCAGCAGGGCUGAGCGUCGCGAGGCUUGCCUAGCCCCAGCGAGCCUCACUGGGGCUGGGCGAGGCCCGCCUGACCACCGGUGGGGUUGGGCAAGCCUCGCUGGGGCUAGGUGGGCCUUGCCGAUGACUGGGCUUGCCUCUAACAAGCUCGAUGGACCUCGCCUUGGUCUGGCGAGCCUCCAGUGAGCUUUCCGGAACGGCUGCCGGCGGCUGGCAGUGGCGGACGGUGGCGAGCGGUAGUGGAUGGCGGUCGCGAGAUGGUCGAAGGGAAGAAGAAGAGUUAUUGGUUUUGAUUCUCAAAUUUGUUCCCGGAACAAGAAUCAACUUUUUUUUUUAUUCUUGAUUCCAUUCCCAAUUUGUUCACAGGAACAAAUUUGUUCCCGGGAAUAAAAAUUUUACCAAAUGCGAUUCUAGGCCCAAACUUAUUCUGAGAACAAAAAAUCAGAACUUGGCCCUGUUUGGAUGGUUACCAAACAUGGCCUAAUAGGUCGACUUCUCCUUCUAUGACACCUUAGGGCUAUCUGUGGUGAAAAUUUUGACCCUGAAGCACUUCUUGAGGGAAGUAAGAUCGAACCAUAUUAUUCACGGGUCUCAUAUAUUUUUGUGUGAUGACCAGCGUAAGGGGAUUAGACAACCAGUUGGGGCAAUUAUAAACCCUGAUGUUCAGAAAAGGACAGACACUUGAAAAAAAAUCACACCGAUUCCCAAAUUUGGCAUAGGUUAUUUUUAAUUAGAACAUUACAAAAGGACCGAAAAUGAACACGUCACUCAAAUAAUUUUUUGUUUAUGACCAAAAAAGAAAAAGUUGCGCUCCGACUCUUUCUGUCAAAGAGAUGAGAACAAGUUUGAAGGCUUUGUAUCAUUAGUUGUAGCUUUUGUCACCAUUGCCAUAGCCUUCUACUUCCAAAGUCCAUCCAAUCUAAAAAUUCUCCGAAGCCAAGCAGUUCGGAAGGCGAUCUCAUCUCAUUAAGUAAGGCCUCUGGAUUGCGAGGAUACAUGGGGCACAACUGCACUUCCAAAUCUAUGACUAGUAUAUAGCACCAUCACGCUUAUCAAAGGUAAUCAGACAUUUCGAGUUGUACGCUAAACAUCCAUUCAGGGGACAGCCAACCCACAUGGCGUCCUCAACUCAAUCCUAAUCUCUAAUGCACACGAUCAGCCUAACCAACCAAAAUAUAUUGAUUCGUGUCAAAACAUGUCGAUACCCCCCACCUUUGCCCAACCCUACUCACUCCGUGCAACCUCUGUGCAGGAUAUACUGUAAAUAUAUGUGGUUUUGAGAUGCUUUUGGUAGCUCACUUUGGACAUUAACUAGAGCAAGCCGCAUUGUGAGUUGUUAUUACGGGGAUUAACGGUUUCGUUUGAUUUGAAUUUUCAAGAAAUCCAAACUGAAUAGAUAGAGUGAAUAGCUGAAUCGGACCGAAUUCCAACCCAAAUUGGAUAUGAAAAAUCGGUCCGAUUUGAUUUUUCGGUUUUCCGCUUUUUACCUUGUUUAUGAGAACUAAAUUGAAUAAGAAAUAAGAAAAAAAUAGAGAUUUUAAGUUGGGCAUUCAAUUUUUGUCAAAAAAUUAGAUUUGAAUCGAUUAAUUGAACUGGAAAACAAGUUAUUUUUUCAUUAUUCGAAUCGAAUUGAAAAUGCAUGAAAUUCAAUUUGGCCCGAUUAGCUUUUGAUUUUGAUUUGAUCCGAAACCCUUAGUUGUUAUUUCCCCCGGUUUAUUUUAUGGCCGUCUGCGAGGACAACGAAAAUGAUAUUUUUCUUAUCCUCUGCUACGCAGAGAAAUUCUAGUGAAGACCCACAAUUGAUUUUGCUACGUGCUUUGAAUAAUUUAUAAUUUUGGCCAAAUAUUCAAAAAAAGUCAGUUUUCAGUUUUUCUUAAAUUAUAAACUGAAAAAUUUAACUCAAAAUUGAAUGGAAAAUUAACUCGUGGUUGUUUCUAGAAAAAAAUUGAAGAGGAAAAAAGCAUCACAUUCUAUCUUCCAAUGUCGUCGUCGUCGUCGUCCUCUCCUUCUUCUUCCGAAGCAGGAUGGCCGUUUGACAUCUUCCUCCGCUUCAGAGGCGAGGACGCCCGCCCCAGCUUCCUCCCUUCGUGGCGGCAUCGACGCCUCCAUCGACGGCGAUGGCCCAAGGCCCGGGGUGCGAGAUCUCGUCGGGCUCUAACGAAGGCCGUCAAGGUGACGCGGAUCGCCGUGGUCGUCUUCUCCGAGGACCACGCUUUGUCUCGGUGGUGCUUGGACGAGUUGGUGAAGGAAGGUAAUGGAGUGGAAGAGGCUCAAGGGAUAGCUGGUGCCCCUGUUCUACGGGGUGGAGCCGAGGGAGAUUUGAUGGCAGAGAGAUGGAGAGGGUUAUGGCAAGGCAUUGGCCAAUCACCGGUUUUUCCGGGUGGCAUUAUUAUGACCAUGGGUAAUCACAGUAUUCAUGUUCGACCCUGUAAAAGCAUAUAGGUAUUCACUAAUCUGUUGAUACUUGAUGGGAUCAAUUAGUGCUUUAAUAGUCUUGCUUUGGAAUGUCACGGAGUCAUUGUUUCCUUCGUGUUGGUUUUUAUUUAGCUCAAUGGAUCAUACAUCGCCAUUAAUUCCCACUCCCUUUGCUACUUUGUUUUGGCAGAGAUGAGAUCAAGUUCAUCGAGGGUGUUGUCAGAGAGAUCUCGACUAUAGGAGGAUGAGUACCCUUGAGUGUUGCCAAGCAUCCUGUCGGUGCAGGUUGCCAAGUAGAGAAAGUAAGAUCAUUGUUAAGUACGGGCUUGGAUGAGGUUUGGAUGAUAGGAAUAUGGGGAGCAAGAGGUAUAGGGAAGAGCACUAUUGCUAAAGCUAUCUAUAACAGUAUUGCUAGUCAGUUUGGUGGGUGUGGCUUUCUUGCAAAUGUUAGAGAAACUUCCAGUAAACCUGAUGGCCUGGUUCUUUUAUAGAAAGCACUCUUAUUCGAGAUUUUUUUGAAAGAAAAUUUAGUGUUCUUCAGUGUAGAUGGAGGCAUUAAGCUGAUACGAGAUAGACUUUGUUGCAGGAAGAUUCUGCUUGUGCCUGAUGAUAUGGAUCAUGGGGACCAGUUGAAUGCGUUAGCUGGAGAAUGUGAAUGGUUUGGAAAAUGGAGCAUGAUCAUUAUUACAAUAAGAGAUAAACAUGUCCUAACUUCUUACAGGAUAGAUUAGGUAUAUGACAUUAAAUCAUUAGAUCAAGGUGAAGCUUUUGAGCUUCUGAGUUCAUGUACUUUUCCAAGAAACUAGACGAAAGACAUACAUUGUGAUCUCAUACAUAAUAUUUUGGGCUAGGCUAAUGGCCCUCCCUUAGCGGUUGUUGUCUGGUUAUUUUUUAUGUGUAGAAGCAGAGGGGAAUGGGAGAUUACAUUGGGUAAACUUGCCGAAAGUCCUAAUAAGAUAUAAACAGUGUUCUGAAGAUAAGUUUGAUACAUUGGAGGACAAUGAGAAUGACAAUUGUUCUUGACAUUGCUUGCUUAUUUAAAGGGAGGGAUAGUGAUUAUGUAACCAGAGUUCUUGAAAGUUGUGGUUUAAAGACAUUAAUUGGGAUUCAAACUUUAAUAGAGAGGUCUUUAAUAAAUGUUGAGAAUUAGAGAACAUGACUUGAUGUGGCUGAUGGGUUAGGAUAUUGUGAAACAAGAUUGACCUAAUGACCCUAGGAAAUGGAGUAGAUUAUGGUGCUACGAUGAUGUUUUUGAGGUAUUUUCGGAGGAUAUUGUGAGAGCUUCUCAUGAAAUCAUUGAUAAUCUUGUCUUCUUUAAUUUACAAACUAUUCCCUAAUUCGGAUUGGGUAAUAAUGAUUAUUUUGUUUUCCUUGAUAGGGAACCAAUGUUGUUAGAGGCAUAGUGUUGGAUUUACCAACACAAGAAGAGCUAGACGUCAAUCCCAGUGCUUUCACAUAUAUGAGGAGACCGAGAUUGCUCUUAGUCCUGAAUGCACAGCUCAGCAGAGGUCCCAUAUGUCUUCUGAAAGAUUUAAGUGGCUUGAAUGGCCUAAAUAUCCUUUAUCAACUCUGAAGUUGAGUGCUAGUCUAAAGAAACUUGUUUGGUUUGAUAUGCAUAAUAGCCGGAUUAAAGAAUUAGGAGAUAACUUAAAGGUACAUCAUACAUUCUUUUAUUGACGGUUUUCAUUUUCGUACCUUUCACAAAGUGAAGAUUUAUCAACACCUUGUUUGGCUGUUCUUUUUAAUUUGCAGCAUUUUAGGAAUUUGAAGUUCCUAAUUCACAGCUGCUGUAAGUCUCUGAUUAGUGUUCUAGACAUCUCAGAGGUGCCAAAUUUGGAGACGAUGAACUUAGGUAGGUGCUCAAACCUCAAGGCGCUUCCAAGCAAAUUGAAGCUGAAAUAUCUUCAAAACGUGAUGUAACUGGCCGCUCUAAGCUUGAUAAAUUUCCUAAUAUUAAGGAUAUGGAGAGCUUAACAAAACUUCAUAUAUCUCAUACCUCCAUUAAAUAACUUCCUGUGUCAAUUGGAAACCUUGUCUCUGUUGAGGAUUGUGGAAGAGUCUUUUCAUUCUUCCUAGUAGCAUUGACGAGAUGCAAAGUCUAUAGCACCUUUCUCUUGAAGGCUUGUUCACUAUUUGGCUUGUUUCCAGGGAGCAGUGAGAGCUUCGAUCUCCCUAAUGGUAGACUUGGAUUCCAAAUUUGGUCUCCCUGAAGCUUAGUGCGUGCAAGCUGUUAGAGAAGGAAUUCCUUCAGUCUUACCUGCUUCUCUUCUGCAAAUAUUUUGCAUCUCUAUGGAAAUUUUUUUGUUAGUUCUACAUGCAUUAGCAAGUUUGAGGAGUUGAUGGUCCAUCAAAAAUUAGAUGAUUGUAAGCAGCUACAGGAGAUCUUGGAGCUUCCACCAGACAUUUGCACCCAUGACUACAAUGCAUUGUCCAGAUUUCCAAAAUUGCCUAUUCAGUGCAUUUAGUCCUCCAUGUCAGUGUAUGUUCACUUAGAUUCCUGUCAUGGAUUGGUUCAUGAAGGUAUCGGCCUGGCUAACAUUACACAUGUGCAUGAGCUGAUGUGAUUUCUGAUUUAAUAGAUUUGCUAUAGCCGGAUGUUGGUGAGAAUGGGUCACUACAUGGAUACUAUAUUUCCUAGAAGAGAGAUAGCGUGUUAAUUUAUCCAAAGUCAAGAGCAUUCCAUCUCUUUCUGGUACCCAGAGAUUUGCAUGGGAGUAACCUUGGGCUUUGUGUGUUGCUUUUGGAUUGGAGGAAGGAAAUGAGGCUAGAUUUAGUUUGAGGUUCGGGUAUUAGUGAAUCAUGUUCACAGUAAUUAUGAUACAAGAACAUUCUCUUUUUACAGUUCGAUUACUUGUGGUUUAAAUAUAUUACACACCAUUCAUUUGAUGAGCUGGAUGAGAUGCUAGAGACUGAGUGGAGUCUCUUCUAGGUUUCAUUUGAAGUAUUACAAGCAACACUAAAAAGGUGUAGGUUCGGCCUUAUAUGCAAGCAAGUAGAGAAUGACCUAAGGAAGCACCUUAAGCUUUUAAAGAUAAUCUCAAUUGUCAGAUAUAUUCUCGAUUCAUGGCAAAAAGGUCCACUUCUGGAUUCCAGUUAAUUUGAGUAUUUGAUGUAAUGCUUACUGUAACUUUUCGCAUUUUCUGAAUGAUUUCUUGCACUCUGCUUUCAACAACUUUAGCACUUCUAUUGUUUCCUGGCGAGAAUGACCCCCUUGUCCAUUUUCUGAUUUCUUUUAUGGAUAUGUGACGACCACAGUGACUGUCACCUCAAGCAACUUCAUCUAGGUUUGUGACAAAAGAUGGAUGGAUCGAACAUCUGUCGAUUUUGGCUAGUGCUGACCCCAAGUUGUGGAAAUUGAAUUGCGAGGGACUACCUUAUAGAUGUCCAAAAUUAUACAUAUGGACCAUUUAUAUUUUUUAGCAGCCGCAAAUUCGAAAUUUUAUAGCUGAGUUUUGCUUUAGGCAGGUGGGAGUAGCCCAAAUGCCGAGAUGUAAAUGGAUAUUGAAAAUAGUUAUGUGGAUAAUGUCUUUUGGCCUCAAUGUAAGUAUUGUUUGAGUCACUAGGAUUUUGUAAUUUAAAAUAUGCUAGAUUUGUAUUGCUUCUUGCACUUUACUGCUGGGGAUCCUAUUUUUUUUUCCAGAUUGCUUAUUGCGUCGCAAUACAAAUUAUCAGUGUCAAAACACAAGGAUACUGAAGUUCUUACUGAAGCUCUAGCUCUUUGCUCUCACUUUUAUGUUUAUGCGUCCAUUAAUCUCUCUAAGUUUCCCCCUUUUAUACUAGUUGGAAUGCUUAUUAUGCAAGAUUGUUAAAGCGAUACAAUUGAUGUGAAGGUUAGCUUUUCCAAGUUUCUCAGAUGUAGCUCCUCUGCAUUUAACCAAACUAAACCAACAGGCAUUAAUUUUGCUCUUCUGCAGAGCUUUUUGGCUGUUAUGUCUCUAUGAAAGUUUGAACAAGUAAAUAGUUCCAUAUGUUUUAUGCUACAAGUAUCAAUUGUUGGAAAUCUCUCUGCGUUUUAACAAAUUCAUGGUGUGUUUACCUUCGAAUGCUCAGAGACAUAUACCUUCCUAUUUUUCAGAAUGGUCUUUCACUGUGCAUCCAAAUGAUUGCCCUUCUAUUUGCCAUUCUGUUGCCUUUUUUCUGUUCUGUGACAGAGGGUGGCAUUACUUAUGUUAGAGGAUAUCCUAUGAAGGUACGAGGCAUCUAGAACAAAGUUGACAUUUCAAUUGCAUUUGCAAGUUAGAUUCCUGUGUAGAAUCCCAUCAACGUUUGUAUCCAAGUUCUUUCAGUUUUUUCAAUUAUCUUUUAUGUCAUGAAGUUUGAGCUACAAUGCAACUUAAUGUCCUCUCACAUUGCCUUAAAACUUCUAUUACUGAGGUUUUGCAAACUGAAUUCAGCAUCUUGCUUUCUAAUUUGUCUAAUUAGUCUAAUUAUCUUAGUUGGCAUGCCAUCCUAGUAUUGGCACAUACGACUUAAACUGAGAAAGGUGAAGGGCCAUGACUGGCAAAAAGGGCACAUUCUCUUCUUCUUGUAGAUGGUGGGAAUUAUGAGGGCCCAAUAGGGAGUGUGCUCAAAUUUGUAUUUGUUGGUUCUACAUUUGUAAAAAAUAUGGCCCAACUCGUUCAAUUUCAGUAGCCAGGUUAUAAAACAAUGCUUACGAUUACAUGGGUUAUGCCAAAUACAUUUAUGCCAAUUGACAAGCUGCUUCUCUCUAAUUGCAUUCCAUUUGCAAGCAGAACUAUAAAUUCCAUCAGAGCAGCAAUGUGAGGAUGCAAGAAAAGGGAUCCUACAUAUAACAGCCAGCAUUUGCAGCAAAUCGUCAGAUCUUGAAUCCAUGUUUCCCAAACAACUGCUGAUUAAGAUCAAGAGAUGGACCUGAACCAUAGACAAUUUCUUGUUGGAUAAUUUAUCAAGCAAAGGGCCAUAAGAUGCCACAAUCAAACCAUAAGAAAAAUGACUCCCUUACUUAAUGUGUACUUCAUUAGCUGCCUAGCUAUUUUACGCAGCUUCAACACUUAAUUCAGCAAUAGGACUCAAAGCGCAACUUUAAAGAUCAGAAACUUUUCCCUUUUUGUUUAUGAAUUUCAAUCCAAGCAUAGAUGUUCAGAAAUAAUUGGAUUUCAAGAAAAUGCUCAAAUUAUACAUGAGAAUGGAAGCAUUUUUCCAUUCCAAUAAUAUCAUUUAACCCCAAGCAUACUUGCUUCUGUCUACCUAAUGCUUUAUGCACAAUAGAGGUUUUCCAUAAGAAAGCAUCACGCUUUGCACAUUUUGUUCUAUUAGUUCUCUUGGGCAGGAUGAAAAUGUCGCAGCAAUAGUUCACAAUUAUAGAGUAGGUAAUAAGUCGUAAUUGACCAGCAUGAUAAAUUCAUCAGCAGUCUAAUGAUUCGAUUCCAGUUAACAACUAUAGAGUAGCUAGGAGUAGUAAAUCCAUUGAAAUGAAAUUUACUGCUAUAGCUCCACACCAACAAUUAUAGGGUAGCUAGGAAUAAUAAUUACACCUUUCCUCCCAAGGCAAGAAUCAUAAUGACCAUGAAUUGCAGCGAAUAGAUUAUAUUUGGAAAAAAAAAAAAAAAAAAAACCUCAACUUUCGUAAGUCAAGAAUGCAAUGUGAACAUCAUUUGCUUGUUUUUUGUUUGAAAUCAAGGAGGGGUCCAUGCAUGUGGUGCGUGGAAAGUGGAGCGUUCGUGCAUUGUCAGCUUUAUCAAUCAAAUAGCCUUUUUCUUGCUAUUACGUGUGAGCGUCUGAUGAAUAAAGAGGUGGUCCUUGUUUGAGCUUUGUCUACUCGUGAAAGAAAUAGAGACCAAAAGCAAAGGAAUAAAAUGGGAAGACACAUAUGGCCAUUGAAAAAAUCACAUACCUACUAGCCGGUGAACAUUUGGCCAACCGAUGGGUUCAAGUCCUCAUGUGAUAUGUAGUUAUUUUUAAAUUUUUAUUUUAAAAUAAAAUCUAUCUGAUUAAAAUGACUCGACUCUAUACUUCUUUUUGUAGGAAUAUUCUCAAAUAAUAACUAUCAAGCCCUUUUCUGUUAAUAAUAAAUAAAAUAAAAAAAUGUAAUGGAAAUUGCCCCAGUGGAGUGGCAGAAGUACAGCGCAAAGUGCCAUAACUUGGCACGCCGGGACACUUAAGUGCCAUAACUUCCAAACGGUACACUUAAGUGCUACUUUUUUUUUCGAGUGGGACACUUAAGUGCCACCUCCGGCGACCCUUGCCGGAAAUCCUACGUGGCAAUUUUUUAUUAUUAUUUUUUGCCUACGUGGCUCGCCGGAGCUCCAAAUCAGCAUAAAAAUUAAAAAAAUUAAAAAAAAAAGAAAAUUUUAAAAAUUUUAAUUUUAAAAAAUUUUAAAAUUUAAAAAAAAAAGAAAAUUUUAAAAAUUUUAAUUUUACAAAAUUUUAAAAAAAUAAGAAAAUUAAAAAAAUUAAAAAAAAAAAGAAGGGGGGUGGGGGAGGUCGAACGGGCGGCUGAGGGCUGAGCCCUCGCCGCCGCCGCCUCCCCGCCGUNNNNNNNNNNNNNNNNNNNNNNNNNNNNNNNNNNNNNNNNNNNNNNNNNNNNNNNNNNNNNNNNNNNNNNNNNNNNNNNNNNNNNNNNNNNNNNNNNNNNUAAUUUUUACCAAAUGUUUUUAGAUAAAAAUAUCUAGGCUUCGGUUGUUGGACCAAUCAUACACCCCUACCAGUUAUCAAAAAAUUGGCCGAUCAGCAAGCUUUGGCUCCUAUGUGAGAUUGAUUUAGUCAUUUUAGGUAAUUAUUUGAUUAAAUUCAGUUUAGGCUUUUUUUGUAAAACGAGUCUAAUCCAUCUCCUUGUUUAACAUUUUCCAGAAUAAUAACAACCAAGCCAUUUCUGUUUAUAACCAAAAAAAAAAAAAAUGCAAUGGGAAUGCGCCACCAGAGUCAAGCCUUGGAAUCGCCCAGGAUAUGAGCAUGUAGAAGGAACAAAGUGGUGGGGGCCACCUGCCCAUCAAAAUCAACUUGAUCUUUUUUUCUUUUAUGAGCAAAGCCGCGUGGAGGGAAGCUAGCACGAAACUGAUAGAGCAAACAUUUCUUUGCGCUUUUGACUUAAGCAACAAAGACAAAGAAAAAAGGUGAGAUAUCAUCAAAUCACAUGAAACUCAUAAUGAUUGGUAUAAUUAUUACACUCAAUUGACAUUACUAUGUUUAUAUGUAGUACAAAUUUAGAUAAUAACAAAAUAAGCUAAACUCUAUGUGUAAUGCAUCCCAUGUUAGUGGAUGCUUUACACUUUUGAAGUACCAUUCUUCGUUUGAGUCUAAACGCAAAAAUCUUCUUCUGGACUAAAUAAUCUAAACAUAAUGUGUUCUUUUAUGCCUAGUAAAAGUCUUUCUUAUAGAUUCUUAUACCAAGUAUCCCGUGCUUUUAAAAUGACUACACUUUGAUUUGACAGGAAUGACAUCCCCAAGCAUAUGAAUUCCAAAAAAAGUAUCUAAAGAAUUAUUCCCUAGUCGAGUGGAAGAUCCUUCACUCUAAAGUAAUAACAGAUAAGCUAUUGGUGUGCCAAUUAAUCAUUUAGAGAUGUUCUUCUAAAAAAUUUCUCAUGUCUUUGAAUUUAUACAUUAGAACCUACCACAUUAAUUUCAAUUGAACAAAAAACUUGAUAUGUUCUCAUGCUUGAGCUAUGAAAGGAAAAAGGUAAUCCUUAUCCAAUUUGUAAUUAGAUUGCCUAAUGCAUAGAAAAUGUGAAACUGAUUGUUGGUGAAGACGUGCUCAUAUCAAAGCCCUUCUCUCAAAUCGGCACAAGUAUCUACUUACAUACAUGACUAAUACAUUUUGUGUAGGAUGUUACAAUUGAUUUACAUGUCAAAGCUAUCCUCUCAAGUUACCCAAUAAGUCCGCACUCUAAAUUUGGAUUUCUUCAUUCCCAUUAUAUAUUGAUUUAUUGGAAGGCAUAGCAAAAAAUCAUGCGAAUUUUAACUACCAAAAUAGUAGUAUGCAACAAAUCACGCUAGUGGCAUUUCCCCGUGCCACAACACAUCACUUCUCCGAGCUUGCUGAGCCCACCGGGCAACGCCUCCUCUCCAAUUUCCUGCCACCACCUCUCAUCUGCCUUGCCCACAAAGCUGGAAAUUAAUAUAAUAUUCUUUGUUGACCUUCAAAAAAGAAAGUCAUGCCUCUGCGUGCAAAGAAAAUACCGAGAAGAUUCGAUGGGGAACAAAUCUCACUGAUUGCGAAUGCCAUUUCCUGGAAGCCACAGCCAAGUACUUUAUUGGGUGGCCAAUGGAGUAUCUUACCUUUUAAGAUCUCGCUUCAUCCUUCAGCACCUUCAUUUUCCAAGCAAACACACCAGCACCUGCCUCCUUUUACCAAAUUCUAAUGGCUUCUUCUUCUUCUGUGUUAAUUAUUUCGCGACCAAAGAAGUGACAUUGGCAUUGAGGCUUGUUUUCAGAAAGCUCGCCAAAGGAAUUAACAAAAAAAUAUUCGAUUGAGAUCAUGGUUUGUUACAUCGUUCAAAGUGGGUUGCAAUUAAAAUAAUUGGAAAAGGUAAAGCCUCAAUUUCAAACAACACCACUUGUAUUUUAUCAAGCUAGGAUCUUCUGUACGUAUCAUGUGUAAAUAAUAGACAAAGCGCAUAGGUUAAGCCCAUAGGUUAAGCCCGGUGCAUAUUUCCUUUUUUUUUUUUAAGUAAUAAAAUAAAAUAGAAAAGAGAAUUUUAUAGGGACACGAUGAGUUGAAUGAUGUAAACAUGCACAUGACUCCCUCAUUUCAUUCUUAAGCAAAAGAUGGCUACUUAAAAAUAUCAAAAUCAAUUAAUGGGAAAAAACAAAAUUAUAUCUGGUAGGUGUUAAAAAAUCUAUUUCAUGACUUAUUUUUUGGGGACACAAUGAGUUGAAUAAGCAAAAAAUCUAAACAAUUUGCUACCUAAUAAUGUGAAAGAUAUGUUGCCAUUCAUAGAAGAAGAAAUAUUGGAAUGGAAUAUAUCGGAUUUGGGUUGAGAAUGAUAUAUUUUUUUUUAAUUACAUACAUAAAUUCAUAGCUAAUUUUUUUAUAUGCUUUGAAAAUAAUAUUGAACUUUGGCAAAUAAAAUAAAGUAGGGAUGAUCGAUUCUUGAUCCGAUCCAAUAAAAUCGAUCAUUCUUUUUAUUUAAAAAUCACUAAAGAGUGUUCGUGCACAAUGAGAGAGUGAUAAAUCUUAAGAUAUUGACGGAAGUGGUGAUAAAUGAAAAGUCAUUGUUCCGUGACUUAUGAUGUUAUUGGACAAGAUAGUAUUUAGUUCAUACUUGACAAAUGUUUUUGAAGAAAUAAAAACUAUAUAUAGUGGAUCUAGCCCGACGUGAUUUUCACUUUUUAGAAUCAGGAACAAGACGGACACUCUUGAUAAUCAUAUCCAAUCCACUGAUUCGGUUCGGUCCGAGUCAUUCUCAAUUGUUGAUUUUGAACACCCUUAAAAUAAAGUCGCUUUCCAGUUUUUUGUAGGACACAAAACAAACAAUUUUAAUAAUAAAAAUGAACGAAAGAAAACUUCUCGUCCAUUUGUGAAAAAUGAAAAGAAAAAAAAAAUGGGGGAAGGCGCUUUUCUUGGGAAGAAUAGGGGGGUUCAAUGUUUCUAGAGACAAAAGACGAUUUCUUGACCAACUCGACGAUAAAAGCAUCACUCAUUGCUCGACACGAACCCAAAUUAAGUUCAGAUUCUAUCUUCCAAUGUCGUCGUCGUUUUCUUCUUCUUCUUCUUCUUCUUCCUCUUCCGAAGUAAAAAGGCGGUUCCACGUUUUCAUUAACUUCAGAGGCGAUGACGUCCGCUACGGCUUCGUCACUGACCUCCACAAGUGUCUGCUUCAUCGCGGCAUUAACGCCUAUAUCGACAGCGAGGACUUGAGGCGCGGGGACGAGAUCUCGCCCACCCUCAUGAAGGCCAUCGAGGACUCGCGGAUCGCCGUGCUCGUCUUCUCCAAGAACUACGCUUCGUCUACGUGGUGCUUGGACGAGCUGGUGAAGGUAAUGGAGUGUAGGAGGGACGAGAAACAGCGGGUGCUGCCGGUGUUCUACAAAGUGGAUCCCGGGGAGAUUCAAGAGCGGGGAAAGAGUUAUGACAAGGAAUUGAUCAGACACGGGAAGAAAUUGGGAAAGGAUUCUGAGAGGGUGAAGAAAUGGAGGCAAGCCCUAACUGAAGCCGGCAAUUUGUCCGGUUGGCAUUAUGAGCAUGGGUAAUCAUAGUAUUCCUGUUCGACCCUGGAAAUAAUUUGAAAUUUGAUACAUGAUGGCAUCGAUUGGUGCGUUAAGAGUCAUUUUUUCUGGAAUGUCACAGAGUAAUUGUUUACUUCGUGUUAGAUUUUGUUAGAUCAAUAGAUUGUCUGUUUCCAUUUAUUCGCGUUCUUUUUGCUGCUUUAUUUUGGCAGAGAUGAUACCAAAUUCAUUGAGAGCAUCGUCAAAGAUAUCUCGACUAUAAUAGGGCGAGUACACUUGAAUGUUGCCAACCAUCCUGUCGGUGUAGGUUGCCGGGAAGAAAAAGUAAUGUCGUUGUUGGGUAAGGGCUUGGAUGAUAUUCGGAUGAUAGGAAUAAGGGGGACAGGAGGUGUAGGGAAGACCACUAUCGCUAAAGCUGUUUAUAACAGAAUUGCUAAACAGUUUGAUGGGUCCAGCUUUCUUCGGAAUGUUAGAGAAACUUCCAGUAGACCUAACGGUCUAGUUCAUUUGCAGAAUACAUUGUUAUCCGAUAUAUUAUGGAAAGACAAGUUAAAGGUCUCGAGUGUGGAUGAAGGUGCUAAUCUAAUACCAGAGAUACUUUGCUGUAGGAAGAUUCUACUUGUGCUUGAUGAUGUGGAUCAUAGGGACCAGUUAGAUGCAUUAGCUAGAAAAUUUGGAUGGUUUGGAAAAGGGAGCAGGAUCAUCAUUACGACAAGAGAUGAACAUAUACUAACUUCUUGUGGGGAAGAUCGGGUAUAUGAAGUUGAUCUAUUAAAUCAAGGUGAAGCUUUUGAACUUCUCACUUCACACGCUUUUCAAGAAAACAGCAGGAAAGACAUAAGCAGGGAUCUCAUAGAUAAAGUUUUGGGUUAUGCUGGAGGCCUUCCCUUAGCGAUUGUGGUCUUGGGUGAUCUUUUACGUGGUAGAAGCGGAGGGGAAUGGGAGAGUACAUUGGGAAAACUUGCUGAAAGUCCUAAUGAAGGUAUAUGCAAAGUGCUCAUGAUAAGUUUUGAUGCGCUGGAGAACAAUGAGAGGAACAUUUUUCUUGACAUUGCUUGCUUCUUUAAGGGAUGGAUAGAAAUUAUGUAACUAGAGUUCUUAAUGGCUGUGGCUUACACACAUUAAUUGGGAUUAAGAUUCUAAUAGAGAGAUCCUUAGUAACAAUUGAGCAAGGGACAAGAGUACAAAUGCAUGACUUGAUUCAGCAAAUGGGUCAGGAUAUCAUUAAACAUGAGUGUCCGGAUAACCCUGGGAGACGAAGUAGAUUAUGGUGCUACGAUGAUGUUUUUGAAGUACUGUCGAAGGCUACGGUGAGAGCUUCUCAUGAAACCAUUGAUAAUCUCAUCUUCUUUAAUUUAAAUGCUAUUACCUAAUUGCGGUUGGUUAUAAAUGAUUAUUUUCUUUUCCUUGACAGGGAACCGAAGCUGUUAAAGGCAUAGUGCUGCAGUUGAUGACACAAAAAGAGCUACACAUCAGUCCCGGUGCUUUCUCGCAUAUGAGCAGACUAAAAUUGCUCAUAUUUUGGAACGCACGAAUCAGCGGAGUUCCCAUAUGUCUUCCUAAUGAUUUAAGGUGGCUUGAAUGGGAUAGAUGUGAUUUAUCCACUCUGAAGUUUAGUGCUGGUCCAAAAAAACUUGUUUGCUUUGAUGUGCAUGGCAGCUGGAUUAAGAAAUUUGAAGGGAACUUACAGGUACGUCCUAAAUGCUUUAAUUGACGGUUUUCACUUUCAGUGCAUACAAAUUGAAUUUAUCAAAAUCUUGUUCAGCUGUUCUUUUUAAUUUGCACGUUUUAGGAAUUUGAAGUUUCUAAAUUUUUAGCACCUGUAAGUUUCUGUUUUGUGUCCCUGACCUUUGAGAGGUGCCAAAUUUAGAGAUAUUGAACUUAAGUAGGUGGUCGACCCUCAAGGAGCUUCCAAGUUACCUAUAUUAAUUUGAGUGAUUUACCAACUCCUCAUGAGUUAGGUUACCUCUAGUGUUAGUUUUUCUAACUCUUAUUUGAUUUUGUUAAUGACGUUUUCGAAAUCACUUUUUGAUUUAACAAUUUACUAACAUUUAAUUUGUAGAUGUUAUCAACAAGUUGAAGUUGCCAACUCUUACAAAAUUUACCAAUUUUUAUUUGAGUCCAUUUACCAAUGUUUAUUUGAUUGUAACUUAAACAAGUUGGAACGUUCCUCAAGCAAACGUGGUAAAUUAUGUGAAUAGUUGCUACUUUUGAAACAACCAAAUAAAAGUUAGUAAGUGACUCAAAUAGGAGAGUGUAACUUAAUCACCACAAAUGAUGGCAAUUGUAAUGAUGUUAGUAAUAUUCAACAGAAUUGUUAAUUUCAUAGAAGAGCAGUGAUGUUAACAUGCUAGUAGGCUUUCCAAAUUAACCUUGGUAUACUAUUGAAACAGUGGGUACUUCUUAAACAAUGUCAAUUAACUCAAUAAGAGUUGAUAAUUUUGGAUAUAAGUUAUCAAACCUUUUUAGUUGGUAAGUUGCCACAAAUGUUGGUAAAUUAUCAGAAUGGUUAAUACUUUUGUAGCAAUCAAGUAAAUAUUGAUAACUAACUCAAAUAUCUAUUGGUAUUUUCAUGUAAGAGUUCUUAAAUUAGCUCUGCAUAUAAUUGUUGGUAAAUUGUUGGAUUAGUUGGUAAUUUAGGAAAUAGUAGGUAAUUUAGUAUAGGAGUUAGUUCAACUGGUUGAUAACUUUAACAAAUAAAUAUCGGUAAAUUAUAGAAUUUUUUUUUUUUUUGCAAAAAACCUAAUAAACGUUGGUAAGGGGACUCAAUUGGCAGUUGAUAAUUUCCUAGAAGAGAUAGUAACUUAGACAAGUUGGUAAGCUGGCAUAUAAAAAUUCAUGGAUUAUUAAAACAGUUGAUAAUUUCGAAACACUAGAAAAGACAUUAGUAGUGAUUCAAAUAAAAAUUGGUUGUUUUCUAAAAAGAAUUGUAAAUUUAACACAUUGGUAACUCAAACAAAAAAAUGCAGUAUAGAAAAAACGGUUGGUAAUAUUAAAAAUGAAAUAAAUGUCGGCAAAAGGAUUAAAACGAGAGUGGGUAAUUUUAUAAAGUACAGUGAAAAUAAGCGCCGCAGAUAAAUGUUGCUAAAUCAUUAUAACCUAUAAUAAUUUCGAAACAAUAAAAUAAAUGUUGAUAACUCAUUCAAAUAAGAUUUAGGGCAAAACGUGGAAUCGACUAGCGAGAACAAAUGCAAACAUUUAUCAUCAAGGAGAAAUCAGAUGCAGAAUAUUAAACACGUGCACAAUUACUUACAUGGUGUCCCGUGUCCGGUCAAUUGUGCAUACAUCCUCAAAAAGAAAUUGAGUUUUCAAAAGAUUAAGUUCCUAAGAAGGUCUCACUGAAUUUCGAAAAAUGCAAAAUCAAUUCGAUAGGGGCAUGCUUUAGCGUGUUGUUGCUUCUACUAGAACUAUAAUAUCUUUUGGUUUGCUCGGGACUCAUUCGCCGAUCCUACUCCACACCUAACCUCCAUAUCACCAAGCAUGUUCUUUCAAAUUUUUACGUUAAGUACAUCACGUUAGCAAUUUAGUUUUUAUGUUCCGCUCAACACGUGAGUACUCUCUUGGGCUACUCCAGUAAUCAUCCGAUAUGUACGGGACAAUAGAUAACAACACGACCAAAUUAAUCGAUUACUAAGGGCAUCUCAAACCUCCCCACUACACACACGAGAAUUCUCCCAAAUUUUCCACUUACUUUUCACAUGUAGGAUAGCCCAUCAUAUUUUAGGUAAAUAAGCCUACCUCGGACGAUUACUUGCAUGGUGUAUCCACAGAGAAAUGCCUAAGUAAGUUUAACACACUGGUAACUUUUCACAUGUUGGUUGUUCCAUAAAGUAAGUCAUAUACGUAUGUAUGUACGUGUAAUUCUAACAUUCAUAUAAUCUAUAGUACAAUAGAAAUUAAACAGGAGCUUCGGUGGGAUCUCUCUCUCUCUCUCUCUCUCUCUCUCUCUCUUAACCCCAAAAUGUAGUCAAUUACUUAUUUUGCAAAUGUUGUAUCUAUAGAGAAAUGCGUGAGUUAGUAAGUUUAUAUGAUCUCUAACAUGUUUCAAUAUUGAAAUUGUGAAUUCUUUUUAUGCGACAACAAACUUUUUAUUUGAAAUCUUGAAAUAUCCUUUUUUGUCCAUAUACAUGUAUAUGUUUCUAUGUAUUGCGUAUUUUAUCAACAAUCUCUUUCCAUUAAAUAUUUCUAAAUUGGUGAUUUUGCUCAACUUUACAAGUAUCAAUUUUUUGCAUCCACAGUACACUUCACCCGUGUUUACGUAGAAAUAUGUAUAAAAAGUUCCUCAUAUUUCUCUUCCCAUGCUUCAUAUGAGACAAACAAACACUUUGCUUGUUUCAUGGGAAAUAUUUUUCAGUAAAACAUUUUCCUGUAUACGGUUUGCUUAGGCAAAUGAGUCCACUGAUUAGUAACUGAAUACCUAUACUUAAAUUCAGGAAAAUGAUUUCCCUCUUUCAAAAGCCGAAAUACAUUUUCCCAAAUAUGACUAACUAUCGGUGCUCAAACCCAAAGUUCUACACUCGGACAUGAAAACUCUAACAUACAUUCCCAGGUCCCGACGUUCAGGUUUAAGUCUCCAACGACCAAGCCUGAGCCCCUAGUGCCCAUGCUCGAGUUCAUUGAGGUUGAGCUUGAAUCCCUGAUGCUUGUGCCCAAUUCCCUAGCACCCAAGUUUAGGACCAUAAAGGUAGUGCUCGAGUCCCCAAUACUAAAGCUCUUGUCCUCAAAGGCUAUUAGCGGGUCUUCAGUGCUCGGGCUCGGGACCUUGAUUAAUGAAAUGUUUGUUCUUAUAACAAUAUUUUUUUUGGAAAUUGAUUUUUUAAUUAUUAUUAUUAUUUUUUCUUAUUUUCUUUUCUUUCCUUUUUUUUCCCUUCUUCCUAGGCUAGUGGCUAGCCAUGACAAUGGCAGGCAACCGGCCACAGGCAAGAGACAAGCUCACCAACACCGGUCAUGGCCAUGGCUGGCCUUUGGUCGAGGAAGAAGGAAAAAGGAAAAGAAAUAAAAGAAGUAAAAAAAGAGGAAUAAAGAAAUAAAGAAAAGAAAAAAAGAAAAAAAUUAAAAACUCGAUUUUUUGGUAAUUUUUCUCUGGAAAAUCUAGUUUCCCUACCAAACGGCAAAAAAUAUUUUCCAAUUCAUUUUUAGGUUUCUACAAAAUAUAUGAAAAUAUUAUCAUUUUCCAGAAUAAUGAUUUCUUAAAAAAUAUUUUUCUAAAAAUAUUGUCUUUUCGAUACAAACUUCAAUUUGGCAUUUUCUAAUAGUUUGGCUCAUCCAAUUAUUAUCUGCAAAUUCAUUUUGAACCAAUAACAAAUCCUAUUGUUUAACAUGUUUUCCAAUAAAACUCCACAUUAAAUUGCCCAAAAAAUAGAACUAAACUAUUGUUGAGUCCCUAUUAAUGAACACCAAUGUAACUCUCCAUAACAUGUAAACCAUCAAUGCUCCAUGACCAAUCAUUUACAAUUUUUUUUUCCAUAUAAAAACCAUCCCGUAAUCCCCUUCCUACUAAUAACUCACCACCUUUAUCUUUUGAGAGAUACACCUUCAAAUAAAAUUCAUGUAUAGCAUUUCAAAUCAUUAUGGAAUGACAACUCAUUGAUAAAGGAGUCUAAAAAAGAAAGUAGUUAAAACUUAAUUAAAAGAAGGCGCAAAAAGACUCAUUAUAUAUUUGACGGUGUGCACCAUAGAGGUUAAAUAAAUUGCACAUGAGAUCCACUAGAUCGAGAUGUCAAAGUCUAUCGACGCAUCUACAUUUUUUAUUUAUCUAUACAAAUGCAAGGUAUAAAUGUGGUGGUUCUUUUUAUAAUGAUAUAUUAAACUUUGAGCUCUUACACAACACCAACAUAUAUGUAGCUUAAAAACAAAAAACUACGCAAGACCGCUUGGACUCUAUUAUUUUUCAUUUUUUUUGGUUAUAUUUAUGAUCAUCUAGGCUUACAAAAUAUGUCUUCUUCUAAAAAACAAUCAACCAACCACCACUUCCUCAUAAGUGAUGAAUAGAAGAGGUUCCCGACCUUCCACUACCUCUAGGGGAUCUAUAGGCGGGUGGUUGCGAAUCUCUACAUAAGAUUCUAGAUGUUAGCUUAAAUGCAUGUGAUGAGUUAGUUGGCAAAGGAAUGAUCGUGGCUCAUGUGCUCCCACUUGAGGUUACACACUCUUUCUCUCUAAAUCACAAGUAUUGUUUUUGUACGUAUACGUAGUGGAAGUGGCCACACCAUUCUAGCGUGUAGUGAAAUUAUGAGCGUUGGUCAAUUUACAAGGAUUACUUACUGGACUCAUAUUUAUAAAGUGAGAUGGUGUGCUCUAUAUACACCAUAUGAUCUAGUGAAUUUUGAUGACAUAUGGCUUGGAUUAUGAUCAAUUGAUUUUUAUUUCAAAAUCACAGCCAAAUUUUGUAAUAAAUAUAUGCCUCACUUUUUUUUCUUUGAUCAUUCAAAAUGUCUAAGCAAGUUGGUUUUAUUGUUCUUGUAGGGCUUUGAAGAAUUGAAGUUCAUUAACUUGGAAGGUUGCGGGUCACUGGUUUAUAUGCCGAACGUCUCUUGUAUUCCAAAUCUCGAGAAAUUGAAUCUCCGUAGCUGCAAAAACUUGGAGCGUGUCCACGAUUCAGUUGCGAAUCACUGUAAGUUAUGGAAGUUGAAUUUAGAAGAUUGCUCUAAAUUGCAAAGAUUCCCUGAUAUUCCGAAUAAGAACGAAAGCUUGCGAAAAGUUCAUCUAGGGUGGACUUCAAUUGAGGAGCUUCCUGCAUCAAUAGGAAAUCUUGUCUCUCUCGAGGAGAUGUAUUUAUUUAAUUGCAAGAAACUGGCAAUCCUUCCAUCUAGCAUUUACAAGUUGCAAAAUCUUGUGGUCUUGCGACUUAAUGGCUGCUCACAACUAAUCAAGUUUCCAAAGGAGGAGGAGGAGGAGGAGGAUGAGGAUUUGAGUGAACCCCAUACAAAGACGAGAUUUCCUAUGUUAUGUACUUUGAGUCUUGAAGGGUGCCAUCUAUCAGAAGUAGAGUUCUUGGAAAAUCUUUCCUGUCCCAACUUAUUCAGAUUAUUAUUGUCUGGAAACAAUUUUACUAACAUUCCUACAUUGGAGAGACUAAAUGACUUGGAAGAGUUGGAGGUUUCGAAUUGCCAACAACUGCAAGAGAUCCCCAAGAUUCCAGGGAAAAUGAGAAGACUAGAGGCAAAUAAUUGUAAAUCUCUAACUAGAAUUCCCUCCAACAUACGUUACCUUGAGGACGUUGAGUUAUAUUCAAGUCGGGAGCUAGUCUGUAAUGGGUUCCCCAUGAAUGAUUUGUUCAUGCCUGAGGUUAGACUCUCUCUCUCUCUCUCUCUCUCUCUCUCUCUCUCUCUUGCAUUAAUAUGGAGUAGGGUAUAUUGUGGCUUGCAUUGGGUGUUUGUGCAUUGCAAAAGGCUAAAAAUUCCGGAAUGGUGGGCUAAUUUUAAAAAAAGAAAAAGAAAGAAUAAAAAAAGCAAACACAUAGAAAGUGAUUAAGCAGACAUAUAGUGGACGCUGAUGUAAGACAAUGCAAAUGAUAUUCUCUUUAUUUAUAAAACUAUAGUUCGUUGUUAAAUUAAAAGGACCGCCCAAUGAAAAACUUCAAUAACAUAUGUUCAUCUAGUUACAAAAUCUUCAACAAUACAUGUCCUGUUUCUACUAAUUAAGUACAAAAAAAAAAAAUUGUAUUGCUAUUGCCAACUAUAUAUAAAACUCUAGGAUUGCCACUUAACUCAUUCAUACUCCUACUUUUAGGUGCCAAUUUCAAAAAAAAAAAAAAAUCUAAUGGUCUACAUCUAUGACAGAAAUUUCAUCGCCAACCAGAUAGUCGAGUUGUUCUACCUGGAGGAGAGAUGCCAAAGUGGUUGCUACCCAAUAAAGAGGGUUAUAUAUCUUUCAUGGCUUCAAAGGACUUAUAUGAAAAUAUCCUAGGAGUAGCUAUAUGUGUUGUAGUUCAAGUAGAAGCAAGGUUGUAUGAGUAAUCUACGUCUUGCCCAAUUGAGAUUAUAGGAAUUGUUAAUGGAAAAGGCAAAACACAUGUUAUACAUUUCAAGUUAUUUGAUUUGGAUAAUGUGUGGCUUGAGUAUAUGGAACCAGAGGAUUUGUGGAUAGUAGACCAUUUUGGUGCAAAUGACCUGACUCAUUUCCACAUUAGCGUUAGAGUAUGCAAUUAUAACUGUGGUGCCUUGGAUAACGAUCUACUUGUGAAGAAGUGUGGAUUCCGACUAAUAUGCAAGCCACUAGAGAAUGAUCCAGAGGUUUUGCUUCAAGACGAUCAAUUGCUAGAUCCAGCUCUAUUCUACGAGGUUUUGCAUGAAGAUAAUCCAAUAAGUUGGAGAUCCAAAGGAUUGAACAUGGUUGAUUUUUCAAUCGAGGUAUCUCUCUCUCCCCCUCCCAAUGUGUGCAUGUGUAUAUGCGUGUGUAUAUGCAUGUGUUGAUACGGUGUACAUUGGGUGCAUGUAAUGCAAAACUGUAAAUUCUAGACAAACAAACAAAUUUAUAAAGUGAUUUUGCACACGUGUAUAAAGCUUAACAAAAUCUCAACUUGAUACAAUGACGAAGACCCGAUAUUCAUAAUUCCUAUAUUGAAAAAUACAGUUGAAAUCUUAGAAAAUCUAAUGAACAAAUGGACAUGUGGUUCUUGAUGUUACGGUUGAUCAUAACAACCGACACCCAUAAUAGUACUAGAUCAACUUUACGGACUAAGAUAAAACUGCACAACUGUAAUAAUUCAAUAAUUCAACAUGAGACCUUUUUUUACUCAUAGGUGUUUGUUGCUAUUAUGAUAGGGGACCAUCGCACUACAUGCCUUGCUAGCCACAUGUGGAUUACUUGGACAGUAUGAUUUAAUUUUAUUAAUAGAGAGUAUUGCAUUUGAGAUUCUCCCUUUAUAUAAAGUUAGAGUAGACAUAAAAGGGGCAAGUGGUUGGAUGAGGCUGGUUUGUGGAGAAGGCAUGCAUUAGAUUUUCCUUUCCAAUUUUCCGUUAGUUUGAGUGCAAGUAAAAAAAAAAUUCUUUAAUUUAUUUUAAUAAUGAUAAGUUUGUUGCAAGCAAGUUGGAGUUCAAUUAGAAUAGUUUGCAUUGAAGAAUCGGCGAUCUCUAAAGUGAACUCAUAAAAAAUGAACAUUAGACAAUGGGGUCUAACAGGGGCGAUUAAUUUCUUGGACGUGCUGUUCUAUUUUCUAUCAAUUUUUCGCUUCCUUUUUAGUACACUCGUAUUGUAUGAGCUACGUCUAGGGUGAUUCAAUCUAAUAUUAGGGGUGGCUAGCACUUGCAAGGGAAGGAUUUCCAACAUAAGCAAGGAUCAAUAUGUUUAAUUAUUACAUAACUCUAGCUUUAGUUGAAUUACUGCGAAUAUGCACAAAUCAAACUCCUUUUCUUGAACUAAUUACAAACUUGGAUACUUCUAACCAUCUAUUCAUAUAACAGAAGCAUCGCUAUUCCAGCAAGUGGUCUGAUUACCAAAAUUUUAGCCCUGGAAGAGAGAUGCCAAAGGGGUUUGUCCUUGUUGAGGACGGUACUAUAUCUUUCAAGGCUUCGCAAGACUUGUACAAGAAGUCUGUAGGAUUGUAUCUAUGUGUUGUCUUUGAUGUAGAAGAUGGAGAAAAGGAAGUAUCUUUCGACAUCGUACCAAGUGUCAACGGCCAGAGGCGGAAUGAGAAAUCAGGAACUCUCGGUUUAUUUGAUACGGAUCACAUGUGGUUUCAAUUUUUCAAACCAAAUGUGUUGUGGGGAUUCUUGGAGGGAGCAGUCGACUUUGGUCAAUUUGACAAGAGUUAUCUGAUGUUUAGCCUUGAUAUUAGAGUAGCGGGUGCAACCCUGAAAAGCUUGGGAUAUGUGAUGCAAUCCGAUCCACUAGAGGAUGCUUUGAAGGUUGAGCUUGAGAAGAAUCGAUUAAUGGAUCCAGCUUCACUAUUUGAGGAUAAUGGGAAUCCAUGGGGCUAUGGGAGCAGCGGAUGGAAGAGAUUGUGCAAGAAACUCGAACAUAUGCAUGGAGGAAGAGACUUAAUAUAUUAGAAGAGGGGCAUCAUGCUUGGCUCAUGUGUCUUUAGCAUGGGGGUAGGGCACUGCGAGAGGUAAAGCAAGGGUUUUGCGAAAAGAUUCGGAGUCAUUUCCAAGUUAUUUGUAUUAGGGUUUGUGUGAAUGUGUGUGAGUGAUUGAUAGUAUCUGUGUGUUAAGGGUUGCGAGUGUGUCUUAUUUUUGUUUUUUUUUCAAUUUAUAUUUUUUCUUCCUUGUGUGGCCCAAUGGGGGCAGGUAAAAUCUCUCCUUUUCUAUAUUUGGGCUAGUUUCUCGCCUCAGUGUUUUUUUUUUUUUUUUUUGUUAAAAAAAUCAUUUGAUUGAAGAACCAUUCCAAAAAGAAAUUGCUAUUGUAUUGUUAAUUGAGCAAACCUAAUGAGCAUUUACAUCUCGAGCUUUUGCCAAAAAAUUUUUAUAUAGAUACCCCAUGCAUAUAUUAAAAUACACUAUGCUCAUACAUAACUAUAGAUGGACGAAAUCAUAACUUGAGAUAAUGAAGAUGAUUCGCAGGUUACCGAUUAAUGUCUUAUCUUUUAAAUAUGAAUACAAAAUAAUUAUCUACUAUUUAUUUUCUUACCUUCUAAAAGAGGUUAAAAUUUUUACAUAUUAACAAAUAUCAUGACGUUGCAUGUACAUAAGAAUUGAUAUUUCGAAAGUUGGACAAAGUAAAUAUAUUAUUUGCAUGUAAUAAACAUGACAGUACCAUUUUGCUAUACUUCUUGUCUUGUUUUGUUGUGCUUUAGCUUUAAAUCCUAAAUUUUUUAGCAUUUAAUACUAAAUACUACAAAUUUUGAGAAAUUUAUAUAAUGUUCUAGUAAUUAAAAAUCAUUUGAAAUGCUUUUACAUGCUUACUUUGUUUGAAAUAUAUGUGAUCUUAAACAAACGAAAGAGUUAUAUAAUCAAAUCUACCGUAAAAGUUAUGUGUGAUGUCAUGAGACUGAUUUAAAUUAUAUUGUUAAAUAAUAGUCAAAACUAUGUUAUUUUGUAAUAUUGAAAUCAUUAAAUCAUGGAAAUAAAUAGUUGGUGUAAUACACAACAUGAAAGAGUGCGAUUGAGGAUGCCACUUCCUUACGACUUCAUCACCAUCAAUCGAUCGUCUGUACCAUCUCCGAUCGGUGACAACCGCCGUCAAAUCUCCCUUGCCGGUAACUGCAACCGUAGUGAUGGAGCAGAGAACGAACGCUCAUCACCACCAAUCGAAACUUCUCUCGUGCUCUUUCUCCCUCGCUUGGUGCGUGCGUGAGAGCUGAGGAACCGAGCGAAGCAAGAAAAAUAUCUUCCUCUCUCAUCUUGAGUGCUCUGGACCGAAUCCGGUGUCCACGCCCGUGGUCGAAGCCAAUUGCAGCUAAAUAUCUUCGUCGGCAAUUUCGUCGCUGAAUUGAUUCGUCGCCUUAGCUUCGUCUUCGUGAGAUUCUCCAAGUCUUUCAGUGUCUUCAUUUAUUAGCAGGUAACCGUUCAGAUCGGAUCUCCCCAAGGUAGGACGCGGUCGAUUCAUUGAGACUCGAUCAUACGAUUGUUCUAUGUUUGCCUUUUGCCGAGAGCUUCAAAUUGUUAUCUUAAUUUGCUCAUUAUAUUGCUCGCCGAUUGAUAGGAAUUCGUUUUUGUAGAACACCUCACCAUUCAUGUUCACCACCUGUUCGACG